rnacentral:lncRNA from 1 species
UUUUUUUUUCUUAUCAUAUUUUUUAGAAGGCAGAAUUUGAAUUAAAAAAACUACAGCUUGUUGCGAACCACGAGCACAGUGCGGAAAUCAUACCAGGGCUAGUCCAAAGACAGCCACCCUGAGGGCACAACUACAAAGCAAAAAGAGUUUGUCAAAAACAGAGCAACAUCGCCACAUCUCGACCAUCACCGGUCACAUCCGAAGACAACACCAACUUCGGGUGAACUUUCCCUGUCGACGCAUCAUCCACCCAUUAAUGCCUAAAAGGAGGUGGCAAGUAGAUGGCAGAAUUUAUCAGUCCACUAAAAGCAUCGUCUUGGAUUCACCCGCGAUGACGUACAUUGCGCCACUAAAGAUCGUCUUGGACAACGGCGAGCACCGAAAGUAGCUCAACAUGAAACCUCAAGACCGUGCCUUCAAGCACGAUGCUCCCAACAGAAUAGCGACAUAGAGGACGCCGUCAUCAUGCUGAUUCAACUCUGAACAUAGGCUUUCGCCCGAAGACCACUACCAAUCCCAGGAGCGAGUGGGCCACGUCACCCAGAUUGGCCACUUCGCCACCGCCGCAGCACUUCGCCAUCAUAGCCGUCGGGGUCCAUCCAAGACCCACACAACCAGGAGCACACAGUCCUACUACCAGCACCACCACGACCGAGAACUCGCCAAGCACCCUUGAUGCCCCGACCAUGGGUCACCGAACCGUACACCCAUCCGUUAGGCCAACUCCCAACAGACGACUGUGCCACGACCCUACAGCCCAGACAGGACCCAUCCGUCUCGCUCCGUUGCCCCCAUCUCCCAUGACCACGGAGACCAGGAGGGGAUACCCACGACGGAGGCUCGAGGAACAUGAUGUACUCGGUCGCUGCAAGCAUAUCAACUCCUGGCCGAGCACCACUACGCCACCAAGGCCAAACCGCGUCGCCGCCUUGUCCCGUGCCAUUGCCUCCAGGAGGGGUCACCGUGCCGCGACCAUCUCUUCUCGCGAGCCCCAGCCACGCCCCUCCACUUCGCUGCGAAGCUCCGCCGCGCGCCAUCACACCGGCUUCAGAUCUCGCAGCCAUCAGCUCCACGCCUCCUAUCACCGCGAGGGGCACGCCCAACGCGCGCGAGGCAGAUCCCGCCGCUGCUGGCUGCCAACGGGCUUUGCCAACCGACAUGCGCUGACGACGACGAGGGGAAGGUGAAGGAGAGGGGGCGGCGGCGGUGGUGGUUAGGGUUCCGCCCGAGCCGCCCCUAGGGGGCGACGCGGGGACAAGAGAGAGAGAGGAGAAAUGAAGUCCAUGUUAUCGGGUGUGUAAGGGGAAGCCUUCCAACUACGAAAUCCACUUGAUCCUCAAAAAAAAUUGCUAUGAAAUCCACCGACUCCAUACUUGGAACGGCAUCGAAUGGCCAACUCCACGAAGGUGAAAGAUUUAAUGCCAUUUUGUUUUGUAAAUCAUGUAUUUUGCAACAAAUUAUGGCUAUCUUUGUCACCACCAAGUGAAAAAAAGUUUCGACUCGCCCUCAAUUUCAAAGGCUCGUUCUCCCUACCAAACGCUCAACUCCCUGCCCCUACAAAAACCCUCCACGCCAUCCCAAUCUAUUAUGUAUGGUCGCAAUGCGUAUGCAUGGUGGUUUUUGCACAUGUCUUAGCUGUUACCAAAACAUGCAAAGAGUACUGCUCCCUCCGCCCGGGUUUACUAGCCCCCUCUUUUUUUUUGCCAAAAUUUGAUCAUUAUUUUUAACCAAUUAAAAUAUAACUUACAUGUCAUGAAAGUUAUACCAUUGGAACCAUUAUAUAAAAUUUAACAAUAUAUUUUUUGUAGCAUAUACUUUAUAUUUUGCUAGUCAUACAGACAGUUAAAGUUUGACAAAAUACGAGGAGACCCAAUAAACCCAGACAAAAAAAGUACGUACAAAGACAAAAAAAAGCUGAGCAUAAUUUAGAUGUCUAUAGGUUCCUUGUGGUGGAACCCGUCCAUCCUAGUUCAGGUCCUGAACUUGAUAUGUGUAAUCGUAUUUUUUCUGAAUUUAUUUCAGCCUUUUUGAUGAUAUUCGUUCAACUGUGUCCGUCAAUUAGAAAGUGUCAGCGGCGACUUCGUUAAUCUCAAAACCUAUCGUCUCAGCCUUUCGAAUGCGUUCAUAAUCAUAGGAUGUACGUGAGCGUCUUCAUAGUGAGCGUCUGCGCUUUUGUAAUAAAAAUAUACAAAACGAUAAAAAUAGGACCAUUCAGUCGACGCCGUUCCAACGAAACCUGCGUGCGAGCCGUGGCCGAUACGGGCACGCCCACGAGCCACCCACCUGUCCCGGACGGCAUCCAACAUCCACCGGAGAUGGACGGCACGGCCCGCCGGGCCCCCACAGCGCAGCGACCCAGCCACGUCCUGAACCCCCGCAUCUUGGAUUCAUCCCGUCCCAUCCCGUCCUCCCAGCCUCCACGUGCCACGUCACGUGCCUGCCCGGGAAAAAGAGAAAUGGAAAGGAAAGUUCCGCGUUCCGCCACGACACGACACGCGGGGCACGAACGGGCACGAGCCGUGCACCCCCCACCCCCCCUACGCCGCCCGCCGCUACUGCCUCCUCUACAACUACACACACAACUCGGUUCUCUCCCCCAUCCCUGGCGCUGGCGGUCGCGGUCGCGGGCUUUCGAUAGAACCGAAGGAUUCUGGGUUCGGCGACAUGGGGAUCUCGGGGCGGUUCCUCCUCCUGGCCGUGGCGCUGGUGAUCGCCGCCGCCGCGGUGGCCGCGGAUGAGCAGGCGGCGGUGGACCUGGCGGGGCCCGGGGAGAUCGCGGCGGGCGUCAAGGAGGCCGCCGAGGCGGCCGCGCUCCGGGCGGAGCUGGCGCAGCUCAGGGAGAAGAUCUCCGUCUUAGGUCAGUUCACUGCCCUCCUCGCCCCGGCCACCGUCUGAAUCGGACCAUCAGUAUUUCUAUGUGGGCGGGUGAGGGGAUUGGGUCGGGGCUGGCCGGCCGGCCGGCGGGGACGACUGGAUUCGUGCUCUGAGCUAGGUUAACUCUGUCGUACGAUGCAUGAUUGGGAGUUGAGAGUAACCCCGACCAAAUCCGCAUGGUUUCCGGCUUGGCAAAAGCCUGUGGUUUUCCCUUUAAUUAUGAAAUGAUAUUCUACUGUGUACAAGUUACCUUUUGGGGAGGAUUAUUUGGCUGCAGUGGCUGGUUACAUAUGUACGAUAAUCGUGCGCUCGUGCUUUUUUUUGGUUGCCGAGGUAAAAUUGUGAAUUUUUUAUUGGCCUGGAAUUUACUUGAAAAAUGGACGUACUUUGCUUGAAAUAAGAGGCCAAGUAACACUAGGAGUUCAAUUAUGUCUGUUGGAGGCUAUAUAUAUUUUGUCUGCACCAAGAGCAAAAUAACUUGCAUAAGCUUGGCGUGCCAAGUUAGCUAAUUUCACCAAAAGCCAUGGCAGUUGGCAGUUACUAAUUGCGCAAUAUGAAUUGCACACCAUGAUCCUUCCAGAUACCCUCAUGACCUCAUCUAAGUGAGGAGUCUGAUUGUUUUUCCUGCAGAGUCGGACAUCGCACAGAGAUCCCAGGACCUGAAGAGCAAGGAUGAUGGCAUAGCGAAGCUGGAGAAGGACAUUGGGGAGAAGUCACAGAAGAUUGCUACUCUGCAGAGCGAGAUCACAUCUCUCCAGGUAUGCAUUAUAAUAGAUAUACGGAGAUGCCUCUCAACUCUUAAGCAUUAUUUCGUGACAGUAUCUUAAACAUUACUCUGUGGCCUUAAAAAUGUUUUUUCCUUAUGCAGAAAAAAGGUUCUGUGGCUGCUGAGGAGCAGGCAGGCAAGGCCAUUGCUCGGGUUGUUGAGCUUGAGGAGCAGGUAUGGAGGAUGGAAGCUAAAUAACAGUUGAAAUUGUCGAUUAUGAGCUUGUGGUUUCUCAUCUUUGCUAUUCUAGAUUGAGAAGCUCAAUAAAGAGAUCGAAGCACAAAGUAGCCAGAGAACAACACUUGAAGCUAGAGCUAACAAGGCUGAGAAGAAGGUGCAAGAUUUGAACUCGAAGCUUGAGUCAGUAAGUGUAGUCCUUCUCUUUUUUACCAUUGGACCAUUUCCAUUUGUUAGGACCAUAUAACAUAAAUCCGUCAUUCAUACAGUAGGUUUAGGAUAACAUCUAACACUGUUUUUUUCUUUCUUAGCACUGUAUUUUCUCAUUCUCUUCUUUACUUAUGAGCUCAUGGCAAUGUAAAUAAUUGUUGAAUGAAGUCUACUACUACUGAAAAUUAAAUAAUAGUUCACCAAAUGAUUACUGAACAUAAUACCUCAAAGGUUGAAAGUCUACAUUUAAUGUCCAAAGCUAUUGAAAGCCUGUGUGUCGAAUAACCAUAGAACUGAACAAAGUUUAGUUUCUAUAAAGCUAUCCAAGGCCUGCGUGAUAAGUACCAUUGAACUGAACAAACAUGCUAGAUUUUGAUCAAGUUAUUCUUAUUUCUGAAUUUAUCCUUGCUAGCUUCAAAAGGCAAGUGGCGAGCAAAAGCGUAUGAUCCAGAAAACGGAGCGUGCUCUUAAAGUUGCUGAGGUUUGCAAUAUGCUUUCUAACUGUUACUGCACUGCCCUAUGUUGGUUCUGUGGUUUAUCUAUGUUCCAUAUCUGUUCUUUCUCAUCUCCAGGAGGAAUUGAUGAGGCUGCAAUUAGAAGCAACAACGAAGGCAAAACAGCUGACAGAGGUAAUCAUAUGUCCCAUCAUUGCAGCUUGUUGUAACAUUUUUAACCAAAAUGAUAAUUUCUGCUGAUCUACGAAGUUAUUGCUUUGUGGCAAUUCGGUCGUUUUAUUGUCAGUUCUCAACAAGGAGAACUUUCAGCAUAUCUUAACUUGCACAUUAGCUACAUGCCUUGAGAAUGCACCUUGGCAUUAUUUGUUGUGGUAUUUCAUCGGUGUGGUGGAAUUUCUGAGGUUAACUUGUAGUUACAAUUUUUCUACACUAAGUAGGAAUUGUAUGUAUCACAAUUCUAAUACCUAUAAAGGUAUCCUCUGGAGAUGAUUCUAAAAUUAGAUGACAUCUCUUCUGAUUGUGUGCACUAGAAACGAAUGUAUGAUGGUUUGUCCUUUUUCUUAGGUACAUGGAGCAUGGCUGCCACCUUGGUUGGUGACACAUUCUGCCCAAUAUUUGGUAAGAUGGAACCACAAAAUAUGCACCUCCGUCAUCUGUUUUUUGCUCACCUCAUCAGUUCCAUCAUCAUUUUGUGUAGGAGGUGGUCUCAGGUCACUGGAAUGAGCAUGGAAAACCUGCCAUGGACAUCUUUUUGCAGAAGGUACCUCUUAGGUUCUUUUUAACUUCAAAUUUCAAGGUGUAGUGCAUGAAUGAAGUCAUCAUUUAUACGUUUCUUAUCAAAUUGCUUCAGGCAUCAGAAAAAUCAGCACACGCAAAGAAAUGGGCUGAACCACAUAUCGAGACCGCGAAGCUGGUAAUGCCAUUGGAUCAAUGCAUUUUACUCCUCAAGUGUUUCUUUAUCUUGUAUUGACAAAAUAUGUUCUUGCGUUUGAAGAAAUUGGUUCCUGUUAAGGAGAAACUGGCUGUGCUAAAGAAAAACGCAGAACCUUACGUGGAGAAGGCGUCAGCAAAAUCAGUGGAAGUUUAUGAAGCAUCCAGGGAUGCUAUUACACCCCACUUUGUAAAAUUUAAAGAAGUUUCUGAUCCCUACUUCCAGGUACUGUUGGUUGGUUAUGGUAAUUACUAUUAUUACGGUAGUUUGUUAUAUGCAAUUAUUGAUGUAUAGUUUGCUUAUUGUUGAUUUAGGAAGCUAAGAAGAUCUCUAAACCUUACAUUGAUCAAGUUGCUGAGGUCACGAAGCCACAUGUUGAGAAAGUUAGGAGUACUCUUAAGCCUUACACUAAAAGAGCAGUUCAUGUGUAUGGAACAUUUCUCGAGUCUGCAACCACAUACCAUCGACAGGUUUGUGACUAUCUUCCUCAUCAUGAUAAUUCACAUUGUAUGCAUCAGCUUUUGUCCAAUGUCAGCAUUUACUAACCUUUUUUUAAACGAAGCAAAUAUUCAUCAUUUUCAUUAAUUGGAAGAGAAUUGCCCGGUUAAUUAGAGGGAAACCAGGUGAAAACCUAGAUUACAACACAGCCACAAGGCCUUCAUGGAACAUGACACCUAAGAAAGGGCACGCUCAGACGGCAUGGCCGUCAGUGUCUACUUAUGAAUCUCUGAUAUCUGAUCUUCAAAGUUUUCAGUUAGGUCCACUCGUUUCUUCUGUGCCCUACCUGGUAGCUGCCAGUCACACAUUAAUUGGCCCAUGGACCUCAUGGUUGCAUGCUUUCCUUGACAGUCUACUAAGUGUCUGAAUCACAUACAAAAAUACAAAAAGCAGAAUUCAACCUUGUGCAACUGUCAGUUUGCAUAGCCUUGUGUCUACUCUCUAGCUGCAACUUCUUGGGGUAGCUGUGUGUUCACCAGUUGGAUGUGUCCUCAGUUGCUCGCCAUUCGUGAAGGACAAUGACCUUGAGGGUGAGCCACCGUCUUGGCUUGGUUGGUUGGAGGAUUCAAAGUGGUGACAGCAUGCCUGGGAGAUGCUAAGGUGGCCUUUUAGUGUUAACUCAUGUCAUGGGUGUGUUCCAGCUAGCAAUGGAGCAGUGUCCAAGUCAAAUCAGCACAUUCCAAUUUAAUAUUGGUAGGUUCGAAACGAUAGCAAAUGUACUUGAAGUUGGUUACAAUCAAGAAUUGUCUAGUAGCCAUUGGGGAUAGAUAUCCAGGAGGCCACAGAGGCCCUAAAAUAGAUAGGGGUUGAAGUCGGAUGCGAUGGUGGAAAUGUUUUAUACAUAAAACCAUUUUCUCUUUUGUGAGUGUCAGGGCCCAGCAUGUGUGCUGAAGCAAACGCAAGUUGUGAAUCAAGAGUGAAUAAACUUGCUGGACCAUGAUUAUACUCCCUCCUUACCAUUUUGUUAGGCGUAUUAGCUUUUGCAUGCAAUCCCAAUAUGCAAGGCACAUGCAGUCGAUUUCCUGUUUGGAGUAGUUAUUAGAGGAUCUCUAAUUUCCUGGAGAUGGUCACAAGAGAUCAUGCAUGCCUCACUCUUUUUUCUUUUGAGCCAUGUAUUGUAGAGAUUAACCUUGUUGUGUCCGUAUAGGAUUAGAUUAGAAUAGUCCUAGUUGGAUAUCUAGUCCUAGUCGGAUAUCUAGUCCAUGUAUGAACGUGUAUAUAAAGCACCGGCAGGGUAGCUUUUGUAUAACAACGAAAAAAGAUCAAUAAAGAGAAAAGUUAACAGGCUCGACAGGAGCCUGUAGCUAUCACCGAAAGUCUCUCCAUCUGUUGUUUCGUUCGCUAGUUCCGCCGAAGAGCUGAAGUUGAAUCGAUCAAGUCGUUGCUAGUCCAAGCAGCUCUACAUGCAGGAGUUGCACGUACGUGUGGUAGGAUAAUCCAUCCAGCUGCUUGCGUGUGUGCUAGCUUAGCACGUACGUGUACGUUGUGAUCCUGGUGAUUUGAUCUAGCAAGAUCAAAAGCAAACAUGUAUGCUGCCUGCUAUGAUGGUUUUACUAACGAUAACUUGUGCAUUAAUUUUUGUGCUAAAACUAAUACGCCUUACAAUAUGGGAAGGAGGGAGUAAUAUUUUCUCCCCUUCUAUUUUUCAUCUAUAACUUCUGUUGCAAUAUUUUCAAAUUGAUUGUGGCCCUUUUUCAUAUGAAGUCCUACGAGUCAGCUAAUAUCUGCACCUAAUAAAUCUGUACUAGCCAAGAAGGUUCUCACUAUGAACUUUGCCAAUGUUGACUUCUAAAAGUAGUUUACAUGUGAGAAAAAUCUCAAAAUCUUUUCAUCUUGUAGGCUCAAGCAACCAUUUCAGAUUACUUGCACCAACAUGAAAUAACAAAAUCACUUGUGACUAAGGAGUUGGUUUGGUUCCUGGUAAGCACUCUUGGGAAAUAGUCAGAAACAGCAACCUCGAUGGCCAUCUAUCUGACAAACAUCCCAUAUUUUCUUUUACAGGCUUCUGCUUUGCUGGCUCUACCUGUGUUUAUUAUGUACAGGCUUCUAGUAGAUACCUUCUGGUAGUUUGUUUUACUUUCGUUAGCCAAUAUAAUUCUAAUUAUCAACGCUGCGACCUUGCGUGAACUGAUAGCAUAAUUGCCUUGAAACCUCUUGUUGACACAGCACGAAGAAGCAGAAGAGAUCGCCUCUUAAUGGUAACGGAAACAAUGGCAAUAGGAGACACAAGCGCCGACAUGCUGAGAAGUAAACUAUCGUCGGCUGCCAUGUAGGGUUGCAGGUACCAUUUCUCUCUUUUUAACAGCGGUAGAACAAAAAGUAUGCGUAGUCCUGGAUUGACUCGCUGAGAUCAUUUUUUUUGUGUGUGUGGGCAAGUCAGAUGGUGUUCAUAGUUGAUGCAUUGAUGGGCAUAUGUUAAUAUUCUGAUUUUUGCCGCAGAAAUCAGAGCAUGUCCUUCCCUGAUGAGGCUGCGCUCCUGUUCAUGGUAGAAGGAUGGAACGCUGUACACCACCAGAUUUUUUCGUUUUCCUUUUGCCCCCUAUUGUACGGACUCUAGUUUCAGCAGCGGCCUUAUGUAUCUGCAUCUUGCCGAGGUUUAAUAUGGGCUUAAACCUCGGCGUUUGUUAAUUGUUUAUUGUAACUUUGUUGAUACGCUUGAGUUUGUUUGCAGCGUGCUUUGCUAGUUUUUGUUCUCGCUCAUCGGCAUCCUAACUAUACGAGAUACGGUUGUUCUACAAUUUAUGUAAUUAAAAUCCGUACGUGCUAUGAUUUGGUGAGAUCUGCAAUCAACGUUGAGCUAUAAAUCGGUGCUAUGAUUUGGUGAGAUCUGCAAUCAACGUUGAGCUAUAAAUCGGUUCCUUGCCAGAAGAAUAAGAUCCGGCGGCACCGACCGAUUUUUGAGAUCUGCAAUCAACGUUGAGCUAUAAAUCGGUUCCUUGCCAGAAGAAUAAGAUCCGGCGGCACCGACCGAUUUUCACCUGUUGUUUCGGGAUGUCGACAAAAAGCUUGCUCAAGCCUAAUACUCGAAUAGAACGUGUCAUAUCCGUGCAAAAGAAAUAAAGGGUGAAGUGAAUGGAUUCUGAGAAUUUUCAACUUGCUCGAACGCUAUCCCUAAUUAGGACUUAACCGAAUUGAUGCCCCUUAAAAUCAUUCUUCUUCUGCCCCUGGUAAAGACGUUUUGCUAAUGCUGAAUCUCGCAAUAUUUUAAACCAAACAAGGACCAACAACAGAUCGAACAUAGGCGGCAAGGAUCCCAAUCCCAUGAGGCAGAGUAACCUUGAACAAUUCGCCUUGGAGGGGAGAGUGGAAGGGAGAAGGGUGGCUGAGCAAGGGGUUUAGGGGAGAUGGAGCGUGAGACUAUUUCUUGAUCUUUCAGUUUUAUCUUUUUCAGACCAGAAUGAGAGAACGACCCUAAUGUACUCAGAAUCGCAGACUUCAAUACUCCUGUUCCUAAAUAUAAGUCUUUCUCCGUAUGUAGUAUAUAUUAGAAUCUCUAAAAAGACUUGUAUUUAGGAAUGGAUUGAGUAGUAAAUAGUAAAGAUAAACAGAGUAUUCAUAAAGAAAUAAUUAAAACUGAAUUUUACUAAAAAAGGGCUAAAACUCGCUAUUCAAACAACCACUCAGCUAAAAUAUCAGAGGUCAAAACAUACCACCAACCACCAUCUCCCUAACAGUUUGCACGCAGCUUUAAUAUUAUUUAGAGACCACACAUGUCAGGCCUCGAACUUCUUCUUUGCAGCUAAACAAAUUUAAACCACAGAUUAAGACCUCAAACGUCUGCUGUUCUGCCAAAUGAGGGCUUGCAAAGGAAAUUCAAAUUCCAACCAGAUAAAUCAUGGAUAUUACAGAAUGGGGCGUCUUCGUCACUACCCUUCAGGUUUCAGCCAACCACAGUGAAGUCCUUGGGAGCAAAAAGCACCCUCACAUCGAAUUGGCCAUACUUCAACACCGAAUCGUCAGGAGACCUAACAGCUCCAACAGCUCUUUGCUCAAAAGUCCACCAAAACAGCGAUUCCUCCAGUUCCAAGCAAACAUCCAGUUUCCCCUUGGCCUUCACCGCGACGACAUGCUGGAGCAGCUUCUCGUCACCAGAGAACUCGCCAUCAAACAGCACAAUCUCACGAGCAAAGCCACCGAUGUAUGCGGCGAAUCGCAGAUGGUGAGGGUGCUCAACCUUUGCAAAGACCUGUAUCACAACCUCCACACUCCCUGCAAGCAACAGGUAGUCCAUGACCAGGCUGCAACGGUCGCCUGUUAUCUGCCCAUCUAUCAUCAAAUCUAAAUCAUACUGCCCCUCAAUCUCAGCAUACGCAAGAAGUAAUCGCUUGUCGGAUGAUCCAUCUCCUUCGCACUUUUCCCAAAGAUCGACUUCUAGUAAUGCCUUCUCCCAUAUGUACAUUCCACGACAAGGGCUACAAAGAGGCAAUGCAAGGGAAUCCUGCAAUUAAGCAACAUUAGUGGAUGUCAGAACACAAAGAGAUAGAUUAAUCCAUUUUUACAUACAUCAGGAGUACGUAUCGAUAGAAUAAUAAACUCAAUAAGACAUGCAUGAUCAUGUUUAAAUUAAAGUUCAGCAUUGUUUCUAAGUACAGAGCACAUAUAUUGUUUCGUUUCAUUCCAAAUGUAUGUCAUUCAUGCAUUUUUCACUCUUUCCCCACUCAUUCGUAUAUCAAGUCAACCACCUCAGCAUUCACGGUAAACAUUCACAAAUAUCAGGAAGACCGAGAAUGUCAUGAACAUCCCAACAUACCGUGCUGUUUGUUUUAUUUCUAGUCAGUAAAAUAAGCCUUACAAACAUUAAUAUGAUUAAUAUAGGAUGGCCAGUUUUGUAUGUUACUGAUGAUACAAUCAUAUCAACUUCUUGGGAUUUAAUAGCAUGUUAAGAUGACUAUUUUUGCAUGUUUCUGUAGAGCUUUGCAUCUGUUGGUUUUAGAAUCACAGUCAGACAUCUGACGGCAUGUUGAUGUAAUCAUAGAAUGCUUAACAACAUGCAACGUGAUUAGCUGGCAGGCGCUCAAGAAGAUAAUGAAAGGGGCAACAGCACAACAUACUGGGAUUAUUUAUUAGUUAAGACUCGAGACCCAGUGACCCUUUUAUCAGCCAAAAGUAGCAUUCUGACGACGGAAGGGAUAACUGAAGUCCACACAGGUAUAAUAACACCACGAGCAUAGAAAGAAGUCUAGCUUUGAUGAAUUACGUACCUGGUCAAUCACGAGAGCGUCGUCUCUGCAGGGACGGUUAAAGACAGGAUUCCGUAGUGGCUCCAAGUCAUCCCGGAUAGCAACUACUCCAUAGACACUAGCCGGAUAGGGCUCAGAGCAAGUUACUUUCAGUCCAAAGAUCUGUAUCAUCUUCCCCGGAUCACGAUACCCAAGAGUUGAUUUAGCUGCACAUACAGAGAUGGCAAAAAAUAAGUUGCUAUGUACAUACUCCCUCCGUCCCAAAAUAAAGUGUCGUUGAUUUAGUACAACUUUGCACGAAAUCUGCAACACUUAUUUUGAAACAUAGUAACAGAUUAUUUACCAGGCUAGCUAAGAAUGAGAGGCAUCAAGUACAGUAGCUUACUGCUGGAAGUAACAUGGGUUUUGUAUUCACGGUGGUGGCAGUGAUCCCUCCUGAUGCACAGGCCUGACGCCUCAGGGAACACUUUGAGAGGACAAGCGGGGAGAAGGGCAUUCUCAUCUCCACUCGCUAGAAUCUCAUUACACAUCCUCUGGUAUUCAAUGUUCCCUUUGGUGUAUGCCUCCAUCCACGCUGCGUCCACUCGCCUUGCUUCUUUCCUGGGGAAGUUCUUCCCUGAAGAAUCAAGCCAGUGCAGACUGUAGAAUCAACCUCGGUAGUUAUUUUGGGCAGAGCGUGAGUGAGCAGCGUGCUCUACCUGGGCAAUUCGUCUCCUCGUCGUCCGUCGCCAGUGCAUGCUCGUCGUCCUCGCUUGUGUACUCGGGAUCAUCGAUGUCGAACUCUUCCCAGCGGAUGACAGGUGGCUCUGAAGCUGCACGCGCAGUUGCACAAAGAAUUGAUCAGCUGUUGCACAAAGAUUAGUUGGAAAAAUAUAGAGACGCUAGGCGGUAAUACUCACUGCCCAGCAGGUAGUCACGUAUGCUAAUGUCGAGAGGCUCCCCCUCUUCUUCCUCCUCCUCCUCGCGUGUAUCAUGGGGACGCUGGGGCGUGGGACCGGGAUCUGAGGGGAGCUCGAGGCUGAGCAGAUCGUCGGGGUAGCGGCCGCCGGGAAGGGCAAGGGCAGGAGAGUGUUGCUGCUCCGCGGCCAUGCUUUAGGUCGUGAGUAGUACACAGUACGUUUCUUCCUUGGGGGCACGAGCGCACCUAUUUGUACGUGAGCAUAGCGGUCGCUAUGUGGACUCCGGACUUGAGCCGGGGCGCAUUGCAGCGGUUCGAUAGGGAGUAGUAUUAGAUCGUACUACCUCCGAAAGCGAGUAGUAUUGAAUCAUCUCAGCCGUCAAUUAGCGGGGUAGUUUUGUUAAAAAAAUUUCUUUCCUAAUUUGUAAAAAUUGCUAGCCGUGACCAUCCUCGUGCGGCCUCGUACAGUUGCCAUCGCCGGUCAUCAACAAUCGCAUGUCCAACAGUCGAUCAGAGCUAGCUUCCGUGACCUCCAAGUGGGAGCUCGAAGUCUGCUUGUGCCUGCGUCACUUGUGUGCAGCGGCCGCGGCCGCCGGCUUGAUCGCCGGAAAACAAUCGGCUGAUGCGUACGUACUUGUGUAUCAUAAAAUGAUCAAUUAAUGUAUUGUACAUACAUGGUAAUUUCCUCAGCCAAAAAGACCGUCCGGCAAGGAUCCAUCGACUAUCUACAAUCGUCGCUCUGUUGCAUCUCAUGUCCGUCGGAAAGUAUUCGGGCGAACCGGUCCUGCAGUCUCGUCAGAGCAAAAGAAAAAAACACACAGAUUUCGCAAUACGUGUAGAGUUAUGGUAUUGAUUUUGUAUAAGUCUUUUAGUUUUACCUCUUGAACAAAAUAUACUACUGAUUUUUUCUAGUAGUAUUGAUGGAUCUAGUCCAUUGAAUCACUCGAAAUGAAACUCCAUGGGCAGUAGCACCCACGGUUUUAUUGAUAUAGAAGAAGCAUCCCUCAUGAGAAUUCCAGAAAUUCGUCCCCGACGUGGAUCGAACUCUGGUCGUUAGGUUUACAAUCAUGCGCCCCCAACCACUGGGCUAUGCCAUAUUAUUUCGAAGGAUCAGCUGGUAACCUCUUUGACGUGGUGGUGAGGUUAUUAGCACACAAGGGCGUGUAGAACAAUCCAAUGACACACAACAGAUAGCAUAUUAAUACAAUUCUAAACCAUAACAAGCAGUUUUAAACAUAGUAUCACACUUAAACAUAGCAGUUUGCAAGCAAAGCAGUAUGUCAUCAUAGAUACGAAACCAGCUAGAGCAACGGAGAGCUGUCCUAGACGUUCACGGCGAAGGCAUUGUCGUGCCUCUCGCACUUGGUCACCACUUCAAUGCAUUCGUCGUUCAAGACGAUGACCUUGAGCAUGAUUGGAGUCAGCAACUUGAAGGUUGAUAACCCACAAGUAUAGGAGAUCGCAAUAAUUUUCAAGGGUAGAAUAUUCAACCCAAAUUUAUAGAUUCGACACAAGGGGAGUCAGAGAAUAUUUGCAAGUAUUAAUAAUUGAGUUGUAAAUCCAGUCACACCUGGAGAUUACUUAUCUGCAUCAAAGUGAUCAGUAGCACAGUAAUAUGAUAGUUUUGAUAGUAGUAGCAAUAGCAAUAGCAACGGUAGCAGUGAUAGCAGCAAUUUUGUAGAAAAUACAACAGUAACGAUAGCAGUGAUAACUUAGCAAGAACAAUAUAAUAGAAAUUCGUAGGCAUUUGAUAGGUAAUUUGUUGGAUGAUAUUCAUCAUGUGACAGUCAUAACCUAGGGUGAUACGGCACUAGCUCCAGUUCAUAAAUAUAAUGUAGGCAUGUAUUCCGUAAAUAGUCAUACGUGCUUUAUUAAAAGAACUUGCAUGACAUCUUUUGUCCUACCCCUCGUGGCAGCAGGGUCCAAUUGGAAACUAAGGGAUAUUAAGGCCUUCUUUUAAUAGAGAACCGGAACAAAGCAUUAGCACAUGGUGAAUACAUGAACUCCUCAAACUACAGUCAUCAUCGUGAGUGGUCCCGACUAUUGUCACACCGGGGUUGCCGGAUCAUAACAUGUAGCAUGUGACUAUAACUUGCAAGAUCGGAUCUAGAACAUGGAUAUAAUGGCGAUAACAUAAACGGUUCAUAUCUGAAAUCAUGGCACCCGAGCCCAAAGUGACAAGCAUUAAGCAUGACAAAGUCAUAGCAAUAUCAAUCUUAGAACAUAGUGGAUACUAGGGAUCAAGCCCUAACAAAACUAAGUAGAUUAACAUGAUGAAUCUCAUCCAACUCCUCAUCGACCAGCGAGCCUACAAAGGAAUUACUCACUCCUGGUGGGGAGCAUCAUGGAAUUGGCGAUGGAGAAGGGUUUGUGAUGAUGAAGAACGAAGGUCCCCCUCUUCGGAGCCCCAAACGGACUCCAGAUCUGGCCUCCGGAUGAAGAACAAGAGGCGACGGCGGCUCCGUCUCGUGGAUCAUGAUAAUUGUUUCUCCCUGAUUUUUUUUAGAAAUAUGGAAUUUUAUAGUGUCGGUUUCAGAGUCUGUGGGGCCACCAGGUAGGGACAACCCACCUGGGCGCGCAUGGGGGGAGGCAUGCCCUAGUGGGUUGUGCCCACCCAGGUGCCCCUCUCAGGUAGCUCUUGACUCCAGAAAUUCUCUUUAUUGAUAUAAAAAUUCCUCGCAAAGUUUCGUUCCAUUACGAGAACUUUUAUUUCUACACAAAAACAACACCAUGAUAAUUCUGCUGAAAAUAGCGUCAGUCCGGGGUUAGUUUCAUUCAAAUCAUGCAAAUUAGAGUCCAAAAAAAGAGGAAAAGUGUUAGGAAAAGUAGAUACGUUGGAGACGUAUCAACUCCCCCAAGGUUAAACCUUUGCUUGUCCUCAAGCAAUUCAGUUGAUAAACUGAAAGUGAAAAAGAAAAACUUUUAUGAACUUUUUUGCUCUUGUUUGCAUAAAUAAGCUUAAACAGCACCCAGCUUUUCAACCACUAUUAUAACUAACCAUGCCGACAAUAACUCUUAAAAAUUAUAUUAACUCAUACCAAUAACAUAAUCAGCUAGCGAGCAAUAAUAAGAUAUCUCAAACAACAACACGUUAUCAAAACAACUAUGAUAUAAUAUGACAAUAGUGGUAUCUCGCUAGCGCUUUUCGAGACCGCAAAACAUAAAUGCAGACCACCUCCGAAGUUGAAGCAUCGACUAAACAAUUUAAUUCAUGGUAGAAAAGAUCCAGUCAUGAUGCACCCAACAUUAGCUAUACACAAUGCAUCAGCAUGACAGCAGUGCUCUCAGGUUCUGACACUUAUUCUAGAAGGUGAUGACACAACAUAAAAGUAAAUAGAUAGUCCCUUCGCAGAGGGAAGCAGUGAUUUGCAGAGGUGCCAGAGCUCAAGUUUUUAAAACAGAUGUAAAUGAUAUUUUGAGACAUGCACCCUUCUUGUUUACUUCACGACCAUCAGUUAUCAAUAUCUUCCAUGCUAAGCAUGCUAGUGGCGGUUCCCAAGCGAUAAAAGUAGAAGUUUAAUCCUCCUCCACCAACAAUCACACUUCACGGCUUGUCUGAAACAAUGGGUGCUGUCCAUACCAACAACAGUCCCAAGGGAGUUUUGUUUAACUAUUUGGAUUUUGAGUUCGGGACUGGGAAUCCCUAUUACCGCCCUUUUCUCGUGAGAUGGUGAGUGAAUAAAAACUCAACCUGAGAAUAACCCGCUUAGCAUGGAAGAUACUGACCACCUCCUGUCAUUCGAUGAACGAUCUAGGCACACAAAAAGACCAUUUAUUUAAAGUUUUUUAGAGGUGGCACAUGCAAAUUUACUUAGGACGACAGGGUAAUACCACAUAUAGGUAGGUAUGGUGGACUCAUCUGGAAUAACUUGGGUUCAAGGUUUUUGAUGUACAAUCAGAAUUCCCACUUAGUGCAGGCGAAGGCUAGCAAUUAGGUUGAGAAGCAACCAACUAGAGAGCAACAACGGUCAUGACCAUGCAUUAUGCAUAAGUAACAUUGGACACUAGCAUGAGUAGGAUAUGAACAUAAAUAUCAAUAUAUCAUAGAGGCUAUGUUGGUUUUGAUUCAGCUACAUGCAUGCUCAUGUGCCAAGUCAAGCCACUUGAACAUUUAGAGGAGGAUACCAUAUCAUCAUAGUAUAUCACAAUCAUUUUAACGCAAUGUUGAUAUUCAAGAUAAAUAAUUAUCCACUCCUAGCUACUUAUGCAUGGCAUGAGAAACUAUAAUCUCUAAUUGUCAUUGCAAACGUGUUUAAUCGUAAUGGGCUGAAGCAUGGAUACUAGGUUAAACAUAUUUAUAAAAACAAAACAAGUCGAGUUCAUACCAGUUUCUCUCUGCCACGACUAGUUCAUCGAAUAUCGUCAUUAUUGCCUUUCACUUGCACGACCGAACAAUGUGAAAAUAAUAAUAGUGCAAGAGUGUCAUGGACGAAGCUAUAAUCUGCAAACAUUUUAUUCAAUAGGAGAAGACAAGGUACAAUGGGCUCUUUGUUAGGUAUUAUGCAUAUGAGAGCCACUUAGCAUUUUCAUCGUGGUCUUCUCCUCGGUACGACUGAAAUAAAAAGGAAAAGAAACUCAGAAAAACACACUGAAAUAUUUUUAGAGUUUUUGGUUUUCUUGAACAAGCAAAUAAAAGGGGAAAGCAAAAACGAGAAAAAAUAUUCACACGGGAAAGCUCCCAACAAGCAAAAGAAGAACAAGGGAAUAUUUUUGGUUUUCCUUUUAGUACUACAAGUAAGCAUGCAUAGAAAGUAAACUAACUACAACUAUUUUUUGGUUGUUCUAAGGUUUUUCAAACACACAAGAAGAAAGCAAGAAAAUAAAAUUAAGUAUGGAUGAUACAAUGAAAAAGUGGAGACACCGACAAAUGGAACAAGUGGACAUGAAUAUAAAGUCAGUGGAAACACGUACUCCUCCAAGCUUAGGCUUUUGGCCUAACUUGGUAGUCGAUCAGAAGCCUGGAUAUUAGUCGGCGUGGUAGCUCACGGAUCCUACUACUGAGGCUCCUCCUCCGCGGCAGCCUGGUUGUUCCGGUAGGCGAUGAUAUCUGCAGGCAUAAUCAUGUAUCCGCCCCUGGCAAUAGGAUCAAACAAAGCAGGAGCAGGCAAUGGAAUAAUAUCACGAGUGUUAAUUCUGAAGACCAGGUUAUAUAGAAUAGGAAUGUUAGGGUAAUCUCGUGCAAUAAAAUGAUGGUGAUCCGUGACCACACGAUCUAUGUAGACCUUGGGUAGAGGAUAAUAAUGAAGGCAUAUCUCAACAUUAAAGCGUGCCGCCAAACGAGUAGCAAAGAUACCACCAUGUAUUUUAUCCUUGGACUUAUUAAUAUGGAGGCGACGUGCCACAUUAGCUCCCAAGCUAUAAGUGUUGUCGCCCUCUAGUGCACGACAUAAAACAUCAAGGUCUCGUGAACUGAGUGCACCCACCUUCUCUCUAGCAAGCAAGCAUCUUGCAAUGAAAAGAUCAAAAUAAUGAACAACCGGAAAAUGCAAGCCAUCGGCAGUGAUAGCCGACACCUCUCUCUCAUCUCCCACUGUCAAGGUACGAUAAAAGGCCUCAAACUCUACCGGCCUAGGCUCUGCCAAACCACCACCAGCAGGAAGCAAGCAUAUUUCACAAAAUUCGGUAAGAGGUAUCUGAUGGGGUUCAACAUAUAAAUUGAAUUGCACCUCAGGAGGAUUAUUCCUAGGAAGGAAAUUAAAACUUUGAACAAAGGUGUUUGUGAGGAGAUGAUACUGCUCACAUGCAGUUGCGAUGAAGUCGGUGAGGCCAGCAUUAGCAUCAUAUUGUGUAAACUCUUGUAGGAUUCCAGCCUCUUCCAUGAAUGGGAUAUGCGACCAUUCGCACGACUGUACUUCCGCCAACCUCCGGUUAUGGAGAUCACUGUCAGACGACUCCCCAAUAACUCCCUUGGAGUUCUUCUUGGAACCAAACUUCCUAAAGAUAUUCAUGUUUUUCCUAUGAACAAAAAUUCUGAAUUUUUUAGUCCACAAAAUUUUCUCAACAAAACUUUACAAGAUUCAUAGCAACUACUCAUAGGGAUACAUAGAGGCCAUAGCAAGCAGUCAAACUACUUAGAAAUAUAAGAAUUCAACAUGCAAGCUCAUCUACUGCAGCACCAAGAGUAGCUAAUUGUUCAAAAUAUAAACCACUAAAACAAAAACUAAUUGGACAAAUGGAGGAGUCACAUACCAAGCAACAAUCUCCUGAAACAGUUUCGAAAAUGGAGCUUCGAGCAAAGAGAUCGAAAUCCACGGGUUUGAGAGCAAGAACAUCGGAGAGAGAGAGCAAUGGUGAAUUUUUUCUGGAGGUAGGUGAUGAUGUGGUGUAAAGAGAUAAGUGAGGGGGGCCACGUGGGGACCACAACCCACUAGGGCGCGCCUGGGGGUCCUGGCAUGCCCAGGUGGUUUGUGCCCACCUGGUGCACCUCCCUCUGAUAUUAUUUGCACCAGAAAUUCUUAAAUAUUUGAAAAAAAUUCAUAUUAAAUUUUCAGGGCAUUCUGAGAACUUUUAUUUUGGGUCAUUUUUUAUUGCACGGGAAAAUCAGAAAACAGACAAAACAUGACAUUUUAUUUUAUUUAACUAGUAAAAACAGAAAAUAAAAGGUAGGGACAGAAAGUAGUGCUUACUAAAUUCAUCAACUUCACACCUCUCAAAAAUGAUCCAUUAAUAAGGUUGAUCAAGUCUUAUUAACAACCACUUUUGAUUAGCAUGAAACCGAAGAACUUUCGUAAAUCAGUAAGUUACCUCAACGGGGAUAUGAAUGUCCCCAACAAUAAGCAUUUCAUAUUUCUUUUUGACAUCUGUUAGAGGUAGUUGAAAACUUCCAAUAGUGAUUGUCGGAGAUUUUUCAAUAACAUUAAUACCAUUCACUUGGAAUUGUUUCUUCGGAAAGUGCACCGUAUGCUCAUUACCAUUGAUAUGAAAGGUGGCCUUGCUUUUAUUGCAAUCAAUAACAACCCCUGCAGUAUUCAAGAAGGGUCUACCAAGGAUAAUCAACAUGUUGUCGUCCUCGGGCAUCUCAAGUAAACAAAGUCAGUCAAAAUAGUAACAUUAGCAACAACAACGGGCACAUCCUCACAAAUACCAAUAGGUAUGGCAGUAGAUUUGUCAGCCAUUUGCAAAGAUAUUUCAGUAGGUGUGAGUUUAUUCAAAUCAAGUCUUUUAUAUAAAGAGAAAGGCAUAACACUAACACCAGCUCCCAAAUCACAUAAAGAUGUUUUCACAUAAUUCUUUUUGAUAGAGCAAGGUAUAGUUGGUAUUCCCGGAUCUUCAAGUUUUUUAGGUACUCCAUCCUCAAAAGUAUAAUUAGCAAGCAUGGUGGAGAUUUCAACUUCCGAUAUUUUUCUUUUAUUGGUAAUGAUGUCUUUCAUAUACUUUGCAUAAGGAGGCAUUUUAAGGAUACCAGUCAAGCGAGUACGCAAAAGGACUGGCCUCAACAUUUCAGCAAAGCGUUCAAAUUCUUCAUUGUCGUUCUUUUUAGUUGACUUAGGUGUAAAGGGCAUAGGUUUUUGAACCCACGAUUCUCUUUCUUUACCGUGUUUUCUAGCAACAAAGUCUCUUUUAUCAUACCUUUUAUUUUUAGGUGGUGAGUUAUCAAGAUCAACUGGAGGUUCUAUCUCAACAUCAUUGUUUGGUUCUUCAUUAUUUGGUUGACUAUCUUCAUGAACCUCAUCAUUAUAUUUUUCAUUAUCAGAAGGUGAGUGUUCACUACCAGGUUGAGUUUCAGCAUCAGAAAUAGAAACAUCUUUGUAAUUAUCAAGAGGUUUUUCUAUUUCAGGUUCACUAGAAGCAUGCAAAGUUCUAUCAUUUUUCUUUUUCUUCUUCUUCUUUUUAAAAGGACUAGGUGCAGUGGUAUUGUUCCUUUGUGAAUCCUAUUCAAUUCUUUUUGGGUGUCCCUCAUGAUAAAGUGGUUCCUGAGUCAUCUUACCUCCUCUAGUUGCAACUCUAAUAGCAAAGUCAUGUAUAUUGUUAUUCAUUUCAUCUAGCAACUCCCUUUGAGAUCUAGCAACUUGUUCUAACUGGGCUUGAACCAUAGAAGGAUGCUUUACAACACCUCUAACAUCAUUUGAGAUUCUAAAUAACAAGUCACUCAAGCGAGCAAUCAUAUCAGAAUUCUAUUUCAAUUGUUUCAUAACAUUUGCAUUGAAGUGAUCUUGUUUUCUAAUGUAGUUUUCAAACCCAUAAAGGCAUUGGCUAGGGUGCAUAUUGUGAGGAUUGUCAUUAUCAUUGAACUUCAUUGGAGAAUUUACCUCUACCACCUUAGGCAGUGGUGGUGUAUUAAGCCCAUGUAUUUCUUCAAUAGGAGGUAAAAUUUUGACAUCCUCAACUUUAAUACCUUUUUCCUUCAUAGAUUUCUUUGACUUUUGCAUAUCUUCAGGACUGAGAUAUAAUAUACCCCUCUUCUUCGGAGCGGGUUUAAGUGGUGAUUCAGGAAGAAUCCAAUCAUCAUAAUUUUUCAGUAUGUUAUUCAAUAAUUCUUCAGCUUGCCCAACAGUUCGUUCCCUGAAAACACAACUAGCACAACUAUCUAGGAAAUCCCUAGAAGCAUCGGUUAGUCCAUUAUAGAAGAUAUCAAGUAUUUCAUUUUUUCUUAAGAGGAUGAUCAAAUAUAGCAUUGAUUAAUUGGCAAAGCCUCCCACAACCUUGUGGGGGACUCUCUUCUUUAAUUUGCACAAAGUUAAAUAUUUCCUGCAAGGCAGCUUGUUUCUUAUGAGCAGGGAAAUAUUUUUCAGAGAAGUAAUAAAUCAUAUCCUGGGGACUACACACACAACCAGGAGCAAGAGUAUUGUACCAAGCCUUAGCAUCACCCUUUAAUGAGAAUGGAAAUAAUUUGAGAAUAUAGUAAUAUCGAGUUUUCUCAUCAUGAGUAAAAAUGGUGGCUAUGUCAUUCAACUUAGUAAGAUGUGCCACAAUAGUUUCAGUUUCAUAACCAUGGAAAGGAUCAGAUUCAGCCAGAGUAAUUAACUCUGGGUCAACAGAGAAUUCAUAAUCCUUAUCAUCAAUAAAGAUAGGUGAAGUAGCAAACUUAGGAUCAUAUUGCAUUCUAGCAUUCAGAGAUUUUUCUUUGUACUUGCAUAAUAAUUUCUCCAGAUCAUCUCUAUCCUUACAAGCAAGAAUGUCUCUAGUUGUCUCUUCAUUCAUAACAUAGCCUUCCGGCACCUUAGGCAAUUCAUAUCUAGGAGGGCUAGUUCUAGUAGGUGUUUCAAGAUUUUCAGUUUCAAGCUCAUCAUCAGACUCAACAACAUCAUGUUGUCUUACUCUAGCAAUUUGUUCAUCAAGAAAAUCACUAAGUGGCACAUCAUUAUUAUCAAGCUUGGUACUAGCAUCAUCAUAAGUAUCAUUCAUAGCAGAAGUAGCAUCAUCAAUAACUUGCGACAUAUUAGGAUGGAUAGCAUGCGGUGGUGUUGCAAGUUUACUUAUAACAGAAGGUGAAUCUAAAGCAGAUCUGGAUGGCAGUUCCUUACCUCCCCUCAUCUUAGAGGGAUAAAUCUUAGUCUUAGCAUCCUUCAGAUUCUUCAUAGUGAUAAAUUGAUGAUAGUCUCAAGUGACUCAACAAAUAUAGCUAUGCUCCCUGGAAACGGCGCCAGAAAAAGGUCUUGAUAACCCACAAGUAUAAGGGAUUGCAACAGUUUUCGAGGGUAGAAUAUUCAACCCAAAUUUAUAGAUCCGACACAAGGGGAGCCAAAAAAUAUUUGCAAGUAUUAGCAACUGAGUUGUCAAUUCAGUCACACCCAGAGAUUAAUUAUCUGCAUCAAAGUGAUCAGUAGCACAACAAUAUGAUAGUUUUGAUAGUAGUAGCAAUAGCAAUAGUAAUAGUGAUAGCAACAAUUUUCUAGCAAGUGCAACAGUAACGAUAGUAGUGAUAACUUAGCAAGAACAAUAUAAUAGAAAUUCAUAGGCAUUGGAUCGGUAAUUUGUUGGAUGAUAUUCAUCAUGUGACAGUCAUAACCUAGGGUGAUACGGCACUAGCUCCAGUUCAUAAAUAUAAUGUAGGCAUGUAUUCCGUAAAUAGUCAUAUGUGCUUAUGGAAAGAACUUGCAUGACAUCUUUUAAUAGAGAACAGGAAAAAAGCAUUAGCACACGGUGAAUACAUGAACUCCUCAAACUACGGUCAUCACCGGGAGUGGUCCCAACUAUUGUCACUCUGGGGUUGCCGGUGAAGGCUGCCCUAGAGGCAAUAAUAAAGUUGUUAUUUAUAUUUCCUUAUAUCAUGAUAAAUGUUUAUUAUUCAUGCUAGAAUUGUAUUAACUGGAAACUUAGUACAUGUGUGAAUACAUAGACAAACAAAGUGUCACUAGUUUGCCUCUACUUGACUAGCUCGUUGAAUCAAUGAUGGUUAUGUUUCCUAACCAUAGACAUGAGUUGUCAUUUGAUUAACGGGAUCACAUCAUUAGAGAAUGAUGUGAUUGACUUAACCCAUUCGUUAGCUUAGCAUGAUGAUCGUUUAGUUUGUUGCUAUUGCUUUCUUCAUGACUUAUACAUGUUCCUAUGACUAUGAGAUUAUGCAACUCCCGAAUACCGGAGGAACACUUUAUGUGCUACCAAACAUCACAACGUAACUGGGUGAUUAUAAAGGUGCUCUACAUGUGUUUCCGAUGGUACUUGUUGAGUUGGCAUAGAUCGAGAUUAGGAUUUGUCACUCCGAUUAUCGGAGAGGUAUCUCUGGGCCCUCUCGGUAAUGCACAUCACUAUAAGCCUUGCAAGCAAUGUGACUAAUGAGUUAGUUGCGGGAUGAUGCAUUACGGAACGAGUAAAGAGACUUUCCGGUAACGAGAUUGAACUAGGUAUUGAGAUACCGACGAUCGAAUCUCGGGCAAGUAACAUACCGAUGACAAAGGGAACAACGCAUGUUGUUAUGCGAUUUGACCGAUAAAGAUCUUCAUAGAAUAUGUGGGAGCCAAUAUGAGCAUCCAGGUUCUGCUAUUGGUUAUUGACCGGAAAUGUGUCUCGCUCAUGUCUACAUAGUUCUCGAAUCCGUAUGUAGGGUCCGCACGCUUAAUGUUCGGUGACAAUCGAUAUUACGAGUUUAUGUGUUUUGAUGUACCGAAGGUAGUUCGGAGUCCCGGAUGAGAUCGGGAACAUGACAAGGAGUCUCGAAAUGGUCGAGACAUAAAGAUCGAUAUGUUGGAUGACUAUAUUCGGACAUUAGAAAUGUUCCAAGUGAUCCGGGUAUUUUUCGGAGUACCGGCGGAGUUACGGGAAUACGGGAGUACAUAUGGGUCUUAGUGGGCUUUAGGGAAAAAAGAGGAGAAGCCACGAGGGCUAGCCGCGCGCCCCCAUGGGCCUAGUCCGAAUUGGAUUAGGGGAGGGGCUGCGCCCCCUCUUUCCUUCUCCUCCCCUCUCCUUCCUCCCCCUCCUAGUAGGACUAGGAAAAGAGGAAUCCUACUCCUACUAGGAGGAGGAUUCCUCAUCCCCUUGACGCACCUAGAGAGGCCGGCCGGCCUCCCCUCCCUUCUUUAAAUAUGUGGGGAGGGGGGCACCCUAGAACACACAAGGUGAUCAUUGAUCCCUUAGCCGUGUGCGGUUCCCCCUCCACCAUAAUCCACCUCGAUCAUAUCGUAGCGGUACUUAGGCGAAGCCCUGCGUCGGUAGCAACAUCAUCACCGUCAUCACGUAGUCGUGCUGACGGAACUCUCCCGUGAAGCUCUGUUGGAUCAGAGUUCGUGGGACGUCAUCGAGCUAAACGUGUGCUGAACUCGGAGGUGCCGUGCGUUCGGUACUUGAAUUAGUCGGACCGUGAAGACGUUCGACUACAUCAACCGCGUUCUCAUAACGCUUCCUCUUAUGGUCUACGAGGGUACGUGGAUGAUACUCUUCCCUCUCGUUGAUAUGCAUCACCAUGAUCUUGCGUGUGCGUAGGAAAUUUUUGAAAUUACUGCGUUCCCCAACAGUGGCAUCCGAGCUAGGUUUAUGCAUAGAUGUUAUAUGCACGAGUAGAACACAAAGGAGUUGUGGGCGUGGGUAUAUACAUAUUGCUUGCCGUCACUAGUUGAUUCUUGAUUCAGCGGCGUUGUUGGAUGAAGCGGACCAGACCGACAUUACGCGUACGCUUACGCGAGACUGGUUCUACUGACGUGCUUCGCACACAGGUGGCUAGUGGGUGUCUGUUUCUCCAGCUUUAGUUGAAUCAAAUUCAAUGAACAUGGUUCUUUCUGAAGAUCAAAGAGCAAUCACUAUACCGUGUUGUGGUUUUUGAUGCGUAGGUAAGAACGGUUCUUGCUCAGCCUGUAGCAGCCACGUAAAACUUGCAAUAACAAAGUAGAGGACAUCUAACUUGUUUUUGCAGGGCAUGUUGUGAUGUGAUAUGGUCAAGACGUGAUGAGAUAUAAAUUGUUGUAUGAGAUGAUCAUGUUUUGUUGAAGUUAUUGACAACUGGCAGAAGCCUUAUGGUUGUCUCUUUAUUGCAUAAGAUGCAAGUGCCAUGUAAUUGCUUUACUUUAUCGCUAUGUGAUAGCAAUAGUUACAAAAGCAAUAGUUGGCGAGACGACCAUGUGACGACACAUUGAUAAAGAUCAAGAUUAUGGAGAUCAUGGUGUCAUGCCGGUGACGAUAGAGAUCAUGACGGUACUUUGGAGAUGGAGAUCAAAGGCGCAAGAUGAUCAUGGCCAUAUCAUGUCACAUAUUUUGAUUGCAUGUGAUGUUUAUCCUUUAUGCAUCUUAUUUUGCUUAGUUCGGCGGUAGCAUUAUAAGAUGAUCUCUCACUAAAUUUCAAGGUAUAAGUGUUCUCCCUGAGCAUGCACCAUUGUGACAGUUCAUCGUGUCGAGACACCACGUGAUGAUUGGGUGUGAUAAGCUCUACGUUCACAUACAACGAGUGCAAGCCAGUUUUGCGCACGCGGAAUACUCGGGUUAAACUUGAUGAGCCUAGCAUAUGCAGAUAUGGCCUCGGAACACUGGAGACCGAAAGGUUGAGCAUGAAUCAUAUAGUAGAUAUGAUCAACAUAGUGAUGUUCACCAUUGAAAACUACUCCAUCUCACGUGAUGACCGGACAUGGUUUAGUUGAUUUGGAUCACAUGAUCAUUUAGAUGACUAGAGGGAUGUCUAUCUAAGUGUGAGUUUUUAAGUAAUAUGAUUAAUUGAACUUUAAUUUAUCAUGAACUUAGUCCUGAUAGUAUUUGCAUAACUAUGUUGUAGAUCAAUAGCUCGCGAUGUAGCUCCUCGUUUAUUUUGAUAUGUUCCUAGAGAAAAACUAAGUUGAAAGAUGUUAGUAGAAAUGAUGUGGAUUGGAUCCAUGAUCCGAGGAUUAUCCUCAUUGCCGCACAGAAGAAUUAUGUCCUUGAUGCACCGCUAGGUGACAGACCGAUUGCAGGAGCAGAUGCAGACGUUAUGAACGUUUGGCGAGCUCGAUAUGAUGACUACUUGAUAGUUUAGUGCACCAUGUUUUAUGGCUCAGAAUCGGGGCUUCAAAGACGUUUUAAAUGCCACGGAGCAUAUGAGAUGUUACAAGAGUUGAAAUUAGUAUUUCAGACUCAUGCCCAUGUCGAAAGGUAUGAGACCUUUGACAAGCACUUUGCCUACAAGAUGGAGGAGAAUAGCUCAGCUAGUGAGCAUGUGCUCAGAAUGUCUGAGUACUACAAUCACUUGAAUCAAGUGGGAGUUAAUCUUCCAGAUAAGAUAGUGAUUGACAGAGUUCUCUAGUCACUAUCACCAAGUUACUCAAACUUUAUGAUGAACUAUAAUAUGCAAGGGAUAACGAAAACGAUUCCCAAGCUCUUCGUGAUGCUGAAAUCGAUGAAGGUAGAAAUCAAGAAAAGCAUCAAGUAUUGAUGGUUAACAAGACCAUUAGUUUCAAGAAAAGGGCAAAGGGAAGAAGGGAACUUCAAGAAGAACGGCAAGCAAGUUGCUGAUCAAGUGAAGAAGCCCAAGUCUAGAUCUAAGCCUGAGACUAAGUGCUUCUACUGCAAAGGGACUGGUCACUGGAAGCAGAACUGCCCCAAGUAUUUGGCGGAUAAGAAGGAUGGCAAAGUGAACAAAAGUAUAUUUGAUAUACAUGUUAUUGAUGUGUACUUUACUAGUGUUUAUAGCAAACCCUCAGUAUUUGAUACUAGUUCAGUUGCUGAUAUUAGUAACUCGAAACGGGAGUUGCAGAAUGAACAAAGACUAGUUAAGGGUGAAGUGACGAUGUGUGUUGGAAGUAGUUCCAAGAUUGAUAUGAUCAUCAUCGCACACUCCCUAUACUUUCGGGAUUAGUGUUGAACCUAAAUAAAUGUUAUUUGGUGUUUGCGUUAAGUAUGAAUAUGAUUUGAUCAUAUUUAUUGCAAUACGGUUAUUCAUUUAAAGUCAGAGAAUAAUUGUUGUUCUGUUUACAUGAAUAAAACAUUCAAUGGUCAUACACCCAAGGUGAAUGGUUUAUUGAAUCUCGAUCGUAGUGAUACGCAUAUUCAUAAUAUUGAAGCCAAAAGAUGCAAAGUUAAUAAUGAUAGUGCAACUUAUUUGUGGCGCUGCCGUUUAGGUCAUAUUGGUGUAAAGCACAUGAAGAAAAUCCAUGCUGAUGGGCUUUUGGAAUCACUUGAUUAUGAAUCAGUUGAUGCUUGCGAACUAUGCCUCAUGGGCAAGAUGACUAAGACUCCGUUCUCUAGAACAAUGGAGCGAGCAACAGACUUGUUGGAAAUAAUACAUACUGAUGUAUGCAGUCCGAUGAGUGUUGAGGCUCGCGGCAGGUAUCAUUAUUUUCUAACCUUCACAGAUGGUUUGAGUAAGAUAUGGGUAUAUCUUCUUGAUGAAACAUAAAUCUGAAACAUUUGAAAAAAUUAAAUAAUUUCAAAGUGAAGUGGAAAAUCAUCGUAACAAGAAAAUAAAGUUUCUACGAUCUGAUCGUGGAGGAGAAUAUUUGAGUUACGAGUCUGGUCUUCAUUUGAAACAAUGCGAAAUAUUUUUGCAACUCACGCCACCUGGAACACCACAAUGUAAUGGUGUGUCCGAACAUCGUAACCGUACUUUAUUAGAUAUGGUGCAAUCUAUGAUGUCUCUUACCGAUUUACCACUAUAGUUUUGGGGUUAUGCAUUAGAGACAACUGCAUUCACGUUAAAUAGGGCACCAUCUAAAUCCGUUGAGACGACGCCAUAUGAACUAUGGUUUGGCAAGAAACCAAAGUUGUCGUUUCUUAAAGUUUGGGUUUGUGAUGCUUAUGUGAAAAAGUUUCAGCCUGAUAAGCACAAAUCUAAAUCGAAAAAGUGCAUCUUCAUAGGAUACCCAAAAGAAACUGUUGGGUACACCUUCUAUCACAGAUCCGAAAGGCAAUAUCUUUGUUGCUAAGAGUGGAUCCUUUCUAGAGAAGAAGUUUCUCUCGAAAGAAGUGAGUGGGAGGAAUGUAGAACUUGAUGAGGUAAUUGUACCUUCUCCCAAAUUGGAAAGUAGUUCAUCACAGAAAUCAGUUCUAGUGAUCUCCACACCAAUUAGUGAGGAAGCUAAUGAUGAUGAUCAUGAAACUUCAGAUCAAGUUACUACCGAACCUCGUGGGACAACCAUAGUAUGGUCCGCACAAGAGUGGUACGGUAAUCCUUUCUGGAAGUCAUGUUACUCGACCAUGACGAACCUACGAACUAUGAGGAAGUGAUGAUGAGCCCAGAUUCCGCGAAAUGGCUUGAGUGUUGGAGAUAUGCCCUAGAGGCAAUCAUGUAUGAUGAUAUUUCCUAUGUGUUUAUGAAUAAAGAUAGUCCUUGGACAUUAUCAAUGAUGUGUAUCAGCAAGUAUGUGACUUGUUUGUGGGACUAUGCAUUGUAUGAUGACUGUCCUAAAAGAUCCCUAGUCGAAAGGGCUGUGUGGACGCGCAGCCAGCUAGACUAGCAUAUGACACGGUCGAUGGCUUGGUCUCACUAGCCAUGGAGCAUUGGAUGCUAACCGAAUAAUAUGGACUUGGAAGGAUCUGGUCGCAUUCGACGUAGUCAGAUCCGAGUCGAGAUAAGGUCCAAGUCGGACAGACCCAACUAUGAGACACAGCGAUAUGUCAUCUGUGAGUCUCUAGUACAACAUAUGUUCUAUGUCCUAAGACCUGAGCUGACGCAUGUACUCGGGAUGGUGACAGACUUGCUUUGGACCGACCAAACGCUACUCCGUAACUGGGUAGUUAUAAAGGUAGAUUUCGGGUUUGUCCAGAACCAUGCUACGAGACGUGGUCGAGCAAGAUGGGAUUUGCCCCUCCGAUCAGGAGAGAUGUACUCUGGGUCCCUCGUGUGAUCCGACCAGGAUAAGCAUGGCCAUGCGACAAGGAUUAUUAGAUAAUCUGGUUUUUGGUCGGCAUCACUAGAACGAGAAAGAGGUCGGGCUAGCACAAGGAUGACAGACUCGUCUUGAGCUCGACAACAUAUAUCGUGUGGCAAAAGGAAUGGAAGUGUGAUGUACAGGUUCGCUAACCAGCUUCAUAGUCUACUUGGUGUUCGGCAUGUCUUGCUAGAGGCCGCUACCAACCGUGCAGUUCGGAGGUGAUCCGAACUGCGACCAAGCCGACUUGAACCUAAGGGCUCACGCUCUUAAGGGAAGGAACCUACGAGGUCGGAUCCGAGGACACUGGUCGGAUGUGAUCCGAACUGUAUUCGGAUUGUGGCUGAGUAGACUUAUGGGAUUUAGGGUCCGUGCGAGGCCCAAGUGUUGAACCCGUGACGGACGCCUAUAUAUAUAGUGGAGGUGCGACACACUCAUGGGCUGAUCGCUUCGGCGCUGUCACUAGGGUUUGCAUGUGUUGCGAAUAGACACCUCCACUCGCCGCUAGUUGUGUGAUCGGACCUAGCAGUCCGCCGCACGACAUUCCUCCUGCACGCACGGAUAGCGUUAGAGGCGGUGCACUUGCGCUGCUCCGGCGAACCUGUACAUGGGAACCGACCACCGGUUGUACGAGGGAGAUCGGACGAGGAGGAGACGAUCCACGCGGACGCGCUGCCCCAACUCUUCUUCCGCUGCACGACACUGCACGUCUAGUGGUAACAAACUGUGAUCCAUCUCUCGUAGCAUGUUCUUGGUUGUUCUGCGCGUAGGAAAUUUUAAUUUGCAGUCGACGCACCCUACCGUAGAUCCCAACAGUGGUAUCAGAGCCUCUUCUAUAGGAUUUGGAUUCAGAUCAUAUGCAUAUUAGAUACGUGGAGGCAAUAGAUGAGAUUUGUUGUCAUUGAUAAGAAUGGCUGUGUGCACGGUUGAUGAGAUCAACUGCACAUGGGGAUCGAUGUGGCUAUGUUUUCUGUUGAUUGGGAUCGAUGAGGUCGUGACACGAUCUACCCCUACCGGUCGGUUAUCCGUCAUCGGGGUUAACAGUGAAACGUAAAUCCGAAUCGGGCUCGCGAUGAUCGAUAAGAUAGGUCAGAUCGAAACGUGAUCGGAGUUCAGAUGUGAUAUGUGAUUCCUGAAAACGUCGGGCGCUGCCCCUUCGAACCCCGCCAUGUGCGUAGCGCCUUGUAUUUCGUACACGAUCACUCAAACCGGUAGAAUGCGAUUCUAUGCAUAACUUUAUUUUGCAAGGUUUGAUGUGAAAUAGUAUGGCUCAUGUGUAUGUGAUGCAUGUGUGUAAAUUAUACAUGACCUGCGUGUCAUGUUUGUCAGCCGGCAGGAGCGAAAGUGCUGUCAUUAUAUUGUAUAACGACCUGCGUGCCGACUUGUGACUCUAUGUAAAAUUCAUUACUACUUGUAGUAGUUGGAUAAUAGAUAUCAGGUUGGUGGCUUGGCGUCCCGGCGUGACAAACAAGAUGGAGUUCCUAGAUGGUCAUCGGAGUCGGAGACAACCUGGAAGAACAUCCAUGAAGGAGCCUGAUCCGUCCAUUUUGCAUCAUGCUUUUAUAUCAAUAUUUAUUGCAUUAUGGGCUGUUAUUUCAUAUUAUGUCACAAUACUUAUGGCUAUUAUCUCUUAUUUUACAAGGUUUACAUAAGGAGGGAGAAUGCCGGUAGCUGGAAUUCUGGGCUGGAAAAGGAGCAAAUAUUAGAGACCUAUUCUGCACAACUCCAAAAGUCCUGAAACUCCACAGAACACCUUAUAAUAAAUAAUAAAAAAUCCUCGCCAAAGAUGAAGACCAGGGGGCCCACACCCUUCUCACGAGGGUGGGGGGGCGCCCCCUGCCUCGUGGGCCCCCUGGUGGCUCUCCGAUGACCAUCUUCUCCUAUAUGAAGUCUUUCGUCGAGAAAAAAAAUAAGAAGCAACCUUUCAGGACGAAACUCCGCCGCCACGAGGCGGAACCUUGGCGAAUCCAAUCUAGAGCUCCGGCAGAGCUGUUCUACUGGGGAAACUUCCCUCCCGAAGGGGGAAAUCAUCACCAUCGUCAUCACCAACGCUCCUCUCAUCGGGAGAGGGCAAUCUCCAUCAACAUCUUCAUCAGCACCAUCUCAUCUCAAAACCCUAGUUCAUCUCUUGUAUCCUAUUCUUGUCUUCAAGUCCGGGAUUGGUGCUAGUAGGUUGCUAGUAGUGUUAAUUACUUCUUGUAGUUGAUGCUAGUUGGUUUAAUUGGUGGAAGAUCAUAUGUUCAUAUCCUUUAUGCAUAUUAAUACCCCUCUGAUUAUGAACAUGUUUAUGCUUUGUGAGUAGUUACGUUUGUUCCUGAGGACAAGGGAGAAGUCUUGCUAUUAGUAGUCAUGUGAAUUUGGUAUUCGUUCGAUAUUUUGAUGAGAUGUAUGUUGUCUAGCCUCUAGUGGUGUUAUGUGAACGUCGACUACAUAACACUUCACCAUUAUUUGGGCCUAGAGGAAGGCAUUGGGAAGUAAUAAGUAGAUGAUGGGUUGCUAGAGUGACAGAAGCUUAAACCCUAGUUUAUGCGUUGCUUCGUAAGGGGCUGAUUUGGAUCCAUAUGUUUCAUGCUAUGGUUAGGUUUACCUCAAUACUUUUGUUGUAGUUGCGGAUGCUUGCAAUAGAGGUUAAUCAUAAGUGGGAUGCUCGUUCAAGUAAGAACAGGACCCAAGCACCGGUCCACACACAUAUCAAAUUAUCAAAGUACCGAACGCGAAUCAUAUGAGCGUGAUGAAAACUAGCUUGACGAUAUUCCCAUGUGUCUUCGGGAGCGCUUUUCCUUAGAUAAGAGUUUGUCCAGGCUUGUCCUUUGCUACAAAAAGGACUGGGCCACCUUGCUACACUUUAUUUACUUUUGUUACUUGUUGCUCGUUACAAAUUAUCUCAUUAUAAAACUAUACGUUACCACUUAUGUCAGUACUUGCAGAGAAUACCUUGCUGAAAACCGUUUAUCAUUUCCUUCUGCUCCUCGUUGGGUUUGACACUCUUACUUAUCGAAAGGACUACGAUAGAUCCCCUAUACUUGUGGGUCAUCAAGACUCUUUUCUUGUGCCGUUGCUAGGGAGUGAAGCGCCUUUGGUAGGUGAAAUUUGGUAAGGAAAAAUUUAUAUAGUAUGCUGAAAUUUAUUGUCACUUGUUACUAUGGAAAGUAAUCCUCUGAGGGGCUUGUUCGGGGUAUCUUCACCCCGACCAGUAGAGCAAAGAGUUGCUCCUCAACCUACUGAACCUAUUGAAAAUGAAAUUCCUUAUGAGUAUCCUUCGAGUAUAAUAGAAAAACUGCUAGCUAAUCCUUUUAUAGGAGAUGGAACAAAGCAUCCUGAUGAACACCUAAUAUAUGUGGAUGAAGUUUGUGGAUUAUUUAAGCUUGCAGGUAUUUCUGAUGAUGUUGCUAAGAAGAAGCUCUUCCCUUUAUCUUUGAAGGGAGACGCAUUGACAUGGUAUAGGCUAUGUGAUCAUAUGGGAUCAUGGAACUAUAGAAGAUUGAAAUUGGAAUUUCAUCAAAAGUAUUACCCUAUGCAUAUUGUUCAUCGUGAUCGCAAUUAUAUAUAUAAUUUUUGGCCUCACGAAGGAGAAAGCAUCGCUCAAGCUUGGGGGAGGCUUAAAUCAAUGUUAUAUUCAUGCCCUAAUCAUGAUCUUCCAAGAGAAACAAUUCUUCAAAAAAUUUAUGCUCGGCUUUCUGAUAACAAUCGCACCAUGCUUGAUACUUCUUGUGCUGGCUCUUUUAUGAUGAAGACUAUUGAAUUCAAAUGGGAUUUAUUGGAUAGAAUUAAACGCAACUCUGAAGAUUGGGACCUCGACAAUGGUAAGGAGUCAGGUAUGACAUCUAAGUUUGAUUGUGUUAAAUCUUUCAUGGAUAUCGAUAUUUUCCGUAAGUUUAGCACUAAAUAUGGACUUGAUUCUGAGAUAGUAGCUUCUUUCUGUGAAUCUUUCGCUACUUAUGUUGAUCUCCCUAAGGAGAAGUGGUUUAAAUAUCAUCCUCCCAUAGAAGUAAAAGUAGCUGCACCUAUUAAAGUUGAAGAAAAGACUGUCACUUAUAAUGAUCCUAUUGUUCCUACUUCUCAUGUUGAGAAACCACCUUUCCCUGUUAGGAUAAAGGAUCAUGCUAAAGCUUCAACUAUGGUUCGUAAAAGCAAUAUUAAAACAUAUACACAUUCUAAGCAAGUUAAAGUUGAACCUAAUAUUGCUAUUGUUAAAGAGCUCUUAUCUGAUAAUAUUGAUGGGCAUGUUAUUCAGUUCUGUAAUGAAACUGCUAGAAUUGCUAAACCCCGUGAUACAGAUAAACCUAGACCUGUGGUAGGCAUGCCUGUUAUUUCUGUUAAAAUAGGAGAUCAUUGUUAUCAUGGCUUAUGUGAUAUGGGUGCUAGUGCUAGUGCAAUACCUAUUGACUUAUACAACGAAAUUACGCAUGACAUUGCACCUGCUGAGUUAGAAGAAAUUGAUGUUACUAUUAAACUUGCUAAUAGAGAUACUAUUUCACCAAUGGGAAUUGUUAGAGAUGUUGAAGUCUUGUGUGGUAAAACUAAAUAUCCUGCCGAUUUUCUUGUUCUUGGUUCCCCACAAGAUAGCUUUUGUCCCAUUAUAUUUGGUAGACCCUUCUUAAAUAUAGUUAAUGCUAGGAUAGACUGCGAAAAGAAUGUUGUUACUAUUGGCUUGGAUGAUAUGACUCAUGAGUUUAAUUUCUCUAAAUUUAGUAAACAACACCGUGAAGAAGAAUUGCCUAGUAAGGAUGAAAUUAUUGGUCUUGCUUCUAUUGUCGUACCUCCUAAUGAUCCUUUAGAACAAUAUUUGCUAGACCAUGAGAAUGAUAUGUUUAUGAAUGAAAGAAGGGAAAUAGAUGAAGUAUUCUUUAAACAAGAACCUAUGCUAAAACACAAUUUGUCUGUUGAAAUCCUAGGGAAUCCUCCUCCACCUAAGGGUGAUCCCGUGUUUGAGCUUAAACCGUUGCCUGAUAAUCUUAAAUAUGCUUAUCUUGAUGAAAAGAAGAUAUAUCUUGUUAUUAUUAGUGCUAACCUUUCAGAGCAUGAAGAAGAAAGAUUAUUGAAAACUCUGAAGAAGCACCGUGCUGCUAUUGGAUAUACUCUUGAUGAUCUUAAGGGCAUUAGUCCCACUCUAUGUCAACAUAAAAUAAAUUUGGAAGCAGAUGCCAAACCAGUUCGUGAUCCUCAAGGACGUCUGAAUCCUAAAAUGAAGGAAGUGGUAAGAAAAGAAAUACUAAAGCUUCUGGAGGUAGGUAUAAUUUAUCCCGUUGCUGAUAGUCAGUGGGUAAGUCCUGUUCAUUGUGUCCCUAAGAAGGGAGGUAUUACUGUUGUUCCUAAUGAUAAAGAUGAGUUGAUUCCACAAAGAAUUAUUACAGGUUAUAGGAUGGUAAUUGAUUUCCGCAAAUUAAAUAAGGCUACUAAGAAAGAUCAUUACCCCUUACCUUUUAUCGAACAAAUGCUAGAAAGAUUAUGCAAACAUACACAUUACUGCUUUCUAGAUGGUUAUUUUGGUUUCUCUCAAAUACCUGUGUCGGCUAAAGAUCAAUCAAAGACUACUUUUACAUGCCCUUUUGGUACUUUUGCUUAUAGACGUAUGCCUUUUGGUUUAUGUAAUGCACCUGCUACCUUUCAAAGAUGCAUGAUGGCUAUAUUCUCUGAGUUUUGUGAAAAGAUUUGUGAGGUUUUCAUGGACGACUUUUCCGUCUAUGGAUCUUAUUUUGAUGAUUGCUUGAGCAAUCUUGAUCGAGUUUUGCAGAGAUGUGAAGAAACUAAUCUUGUCUUCAAUUCGGAAAAGUGCCACUUUAUGGUUAAUGAAGGUAUUGUCUUGGGGCAUAAAGUUUCUGAAAGAGGUAUUUAAGUUGAUAAAGCCAAGGUUGAUGCUAUUGAAAAGAUGCCAUGUCCCAAGGACAUCAAAGGUAUAAGAAGUUUCCUUGGUCACGCCAGAUUUUAUAGGAGGUUCAUUAAGGACUUCUCGAAAAUUUCUCGGCCUCUGACUAAUUUAUUACAAAAAGAUAUACCAUUUGUCUUUGAUGAUGAUUGUGUAGAAGCAUUUGAAAUACUUAAGAAAUCAUUAGUCUCUACACCUAUUGUUCAGCCACCUGAUUGGAAUUUACCCUUUGAAAUUAUGUGUGAUGCUAGCGAUUAUGCUGUAGGUGUUGUUCUAGGGCAAAGAGUUGAUAAGAAAUUAAAUGUUAUCCAUUAUGCUAGUAAGACUCUAGACAAUGCUCAAAGAAAUUAUGUUACUACUGAAAAAGAACUUUUAGUAGUUGUAUUUGCUUGUGAUAAGUUCAGACCUUAUAUUGUUGAUUCUAAAGUAACUAUCCACACUGAUCAUGCUGCUAUUAAAUGUCUUAUGGAGAAGAAAGAUGCUAAACCUAGACUUAUUAGAUGGGUCCUCUUGCUACAAGAAUUUGAUUUGCAUGUUGUUGAUAGAAAAGGAGCUGAGAACCCCGUUGCAGACACCUUAUCUAGGUUAGAGAAUGUUCUUGAUGACCCACUACCUAUUGAUGAUAGCUUUCCUGAUGAACAAUUAAAUGUCAUAAGUACUUCUCGUAGUACCCCUUGGUAUGCUGAUUAUGCUAAUUACAUAGUUGCUAAAUUUAUACCACCUAGCUUCACAUACCAACAAAAGAAAAAAUUCUUCUAUGAUUUGAGAUAUUACUUUUGGGAUGACCCACAUCUUUAUAAAGAAGGAGUAGAUGGUGUUAUUAGACGUUGUGUACCUGAGCAUGAAUAGGAACAGAUCCUACGCAAGUGCCACUCUAAAACUUAUGGAGGACACCACGCGGGAGAUAGAACUGCACAUGAGGUAUUGCAAUCCGGCUUUUAUUGGCCUACUCUCUUCAAGGAUGCCCAUAAGUUUGUCCUUUCUUGUGAUGAAUGUCAAAUAAUUGGUAAUAUUAGUAGACAUCAAGAAAUGCCUAUGAAUUAUUCAUUUGUUAUUGGAUCGUUUGAUGUUUGGGGCUUUGAUUAUAUGGGACCUUUUCCUGCCUCUAAUGGAUAUACACAUAUUUUAGUUGAUGUUGAUUACGUUACUAAGUGGGUAGAAGCUAUUCGAACUAGUAGUGCUGAUCAUAACACUUCUAUUAAAAUGCUUAAAGAAGUUAUUUUUCCAAGGUUUGGACUCCCUAGAUAUGUAAUGACUAAUGGUGGUUCACAUUUUAUUCAUGGUGCUUUCCGUAAAAUGCUUGCUAAAUAUGACGUCAAUCAUAGAAUUGCAUCUCUGUAUCACCCACAGUCUAGUGGUCAAGUAGAAUUGAGUAAUAGAGAACUCAAAUUAAUUUUGCAAAAGAAUGUCAAUAGGUCUAGAAAGAAUUGGUCCAAGAAACUUGAUGAUGCAUUAUGGGCCUAUAGAACUGCAUAUAAAAAUCCUAUGGGUAUGUCUCCGUGUAAAAUGGUAUAUGGAAAAUCAUGUAACUUACCUCUCGAACUAGAACAUAAGGCAUAUUGGGCUAUUAAAGAGCUCAACUAUGAUUUCAAACUUGCCGGUGAAAAGAGGUUAUUUGAUAUUAGCUCACUUGAUGAAUGGAGAACCCAAGCUUAUGAAAAUGCCAAGUUGUUUAAAGAAAAGGUUAAAAGAUGGCAUGACAAAAGGAUACAAAAGCUUGAGUUUAGUGUAGGUGAUUAUGUAUUGCUAUACAACUCUCGUUUAAGAUUUUUGCAGGGAAACUUCUCUCUAAAUGGGAAGGCCCCUAUGUUAUCGAGGAGGUCUAUCAUUCUGGUGACAUAAAAAUCAACAACUUCAAAGGCACAAAUCCGAAGGUGGUAAAUGGUCAAAGAAUCAAACAUUAUAUCUCAGGUAAUCCCAGAAAUGUUGAAACCAAUAUCAUUGAAACCGUAACCCCGAAGGAAUACAUAAGGGACACUUUACAGAAUGUUUCAGACUCCGAAAAGGAAUAGGUAUGUGGUACGGUAAGUAAACCGACUCCAAAACAAUUUUUAAGGCAAUAUUUCUCCGUUUUGGAAUAUUUAGAAAAAUAGAAAAUUAAGUAGCAGUCCGGGAAGGACACGAGGGCCUCACGAGGGUGGAGGGCGUGCCCUACCCCCUGGGCGCGCCCCCUACCUCGUGAGCUCCUCAUGUGCCUUCUGGACUCCGUUUUCUUGCACGAUAUGUAUUUUGGUCAGUAAAAAUUCACUAUAUAUUCUCCCGAAGGUUUUGACUCCCGUAUUACGCAAAAAUCUCCUGUCUUUGUUUCGAGCUGUUUUCUGUCAGGGUUUUCAAGGCCAGACACUAUGUCGUCUCCCUCCUCCUCCAAUCAUGAGGGCAAUGAUGCUUGGCUAAUGAAGAUAGAGCUGAAGAGAGAAGAACCUAUGGAGAUCAAUAAGGAUGAAGGGAUCAAGAAGGCCGUGGAGGACCAAGUUCCAGCAAUAGAAGACACCCUUCAACUGGAUCAUAAUCUUCUUACCCCUACAGAAAUCGAAGCUUUCAAGAUGAUUGAGUUGGCUCGUAUACAAAAUAAGUAUCUCACACGUGAAAAUAUUUUGUUGAAGGAGCAUAUCAUCGCACUCAAGGGCAUUAUCCGCAAGUUAGAAUACCUUCUACGUUCGAUGUGCGACAAUCCAUCAUCAACAACACCUUCACCUUCUUCACCAACCAAGGAGAUAUAAUAACAUGGGUAUGGGCACUCCCCUUGGCAACAACCAAGCUUGGAGGAGUGCCCCGGUAUCGUAUCACCAUCACUUUUAUCUUUACCAUUUAUCUUAGUUCGAUAUUAUUAGUAGUAUUUUGAUCUAGUAGAAUAAAGUUUGUGGCAUGAUCUGUUGUGAGUUUUGCUUUAUUAUCCUUCUAUGUAAUCGAGUCUGUGAGCUAUAUAAUAAAGAUUAGUGUUGAGUCAAGGGCUUGAUUGUUUUGCCAUGAUCCUAAGUGAAUAAAAGAAAAGAUAAAGAAAUAAAAAUAAACAAAGAGAUCAUAUGGAUCUCAUGGAGAGUAAUGAGCUCACAUAGAAAAGGUAUGAUGAAUAAAAGUUGUUGAGAGUUGACAAGCAUAGUUUUGGUCAUCGUUGCAAUUAAUAGGAAGUAAUAAAGAAAGAGAGGUCUUCACAUAUAGAUAUGCUAUCUUGGACAUCUUUUAUGAUUUGAGCACUCAUUAAAAUAUGACAUGCUAAAGAGUUGACAUUGGACAAGGAAGACAACGUAAUGGGGUAUGGUUUCUUACAUCUGAGAUAAAUUAUAUUGUCUUGGAUCUUCCAACAUGUUGAGCUUGCCUUUCCCCCUCAUGCUAGCCAAAUUCAUUGCACCAAAUAGAGAUACUACUUGUGCUUCCAAAUACCCUUAAACCAGUUUUGCCAUGAGAGUCCACCAUAUCUACCUAUGGAUUGAAUAAGAUCCUUCAAGUAAGUUGUCAUUGGUGCAAAGCAAUAAAAAUUGCUCUCUAAAUAUGUAUGAUUGAUUGGUGUGGGAGAAAUAAGCUUUAUACGAUCUUGUGAUGUGGAAGUAAUAAAAGCGACAGACUGCAUAAUAAAGGUUCAUAUCACAAGGGGCAAUAUAAAGUUACGUUCUUUUGCAUUAAGAUUUUGUGCAUCCAACCAUAAAAGCGCAUGGCAACCUUUUCUUCCCUCUGCGAAGGGCCUAUCUUUUAUCAUUAUCUUCUACCUUAUGCAAGAGUCAUGGUGAUUUUCACCCUUCCUUUUUACACUUUAUCCUUUGGCAAGCACAUUAUGUUGGAAAGAUCCUGGUAUAUAUGGCUAAUUGGAUGUGAGUUUUCAUGAACUAUUACUGUUGACAUUACCCUUGAGGUAAAACGUUGGGAGGCAAGACUAUAAGCCCCUAUCUUUCUCUGUGUCCGAUUAAAACUCCACACCCAUAAGUAUUGCGUGAGUGUCAGCAGUUGUGAAAGAUUAUAUGAUAGUAGUAUGUGGACUUGCUGAAAAGCUCUUAUACAUUGUCUCUUUCCUAUGUUAUGAUAAAUUGCAAUUGCUUCAGUGACCGAGAUUGUAGUUUCUUAGUUUUCAAUGAAGUUUACGAUUCAUACUUGAUAUUGUGAUUGAAUUAUUACUCUAGCAUUAGAGAUCAUAUGACAAAAAUUAUAUAAGUUGCUGUUAUAAGAAUGAUCGUGAUGCCCUCAUGUCCGUAUUUUAUUUUUAUCGACACCUUCAUCUCUAAACAUGUGGACAUAUUUUUCGAUUUCGGCUUUUCGCUUGAGGACAAGCGAGGUCUAAGCUUGGGGGAGUUGAUACGUCCAUUUUGCAUCAUGCUUUUAUAUCAAUAUUUAUUGCAUUAUGGGUUGUUAUUUCACAUUAUGUCACAAUACUUAUGGCUAUUCUCUCUUAUUUUACAAGGUUUACAUAAGGAGGGAGAAUGUCGGCAGCUGGAAUUCUGGGCUGGAAAAGGAGCAAAUAUUAGAGACCUAUUCUGCACAACUCCAAAAGUCCUGAAACUCCACGGAACACCUUAUAAUAAAUAAUGAAAAACCCUCGCCAAAGAUGAAGACCAGGGGGCCCACACCCUUCUCACGAGGGUGGGGGGCGCCCCCCUAGGGCGCGCCCCUGCCUCGUGGGCCCCCUGGUGGUUCUCGGAUGACCAUCUUCUCCUAUAUGAAGUCUUUCGUCGAGAAAAAAUAAGAAGCAACCUUUCAGGACGAAACUCCACCGCCACAAGGCGGAACCUUGGCGGAUCCAAUCUACAGCUCCGACAGAGCUGUUCUGCCGGGGAAACUUCCCUCCCGGAGGGGGAAAUCAUCGCCAUCGUCAUCACCAACGCUCCUCUCAUCGGGAGAGGGCAAUCUCCAUCAACAUCUUCAUCAGCACCAUCUCAUCUCAAAACCCUAGUUCAUCUCUUGUAUCCGAUUCUUGUCUUCAAGUCCGGGAUUGGUGCUAGUAGGUUGCUAGUAGUGUUAAUUACUCCUUGUAGUUGAUGCUAGUUAGUUUAAUUGGUGGAAGAUCAUACGUUCAGAUCCUUUAUGCAUAUUAAUACCCCUCUGAUUAUGAACAUGUUUAUGCUUUGUGAGUAGUUACGUUUGUUACUGAGGACAAGGGAGAAGUCUUGCUAUUAGUAGUCAUGUGAAUUUGGUAUUCGUUCGAUAUUUUGAUGAGAUGUAUGUUGUCUAGCCUCUAGUGGUGUUAUGUGAACAUCGACUACAUAACACUUCACCAUUAUUUGGGCCUAGAGGAAGGCAUUGGGAAGUAAUAAGUAGAUGAUGGGUUGCUAGAGUGACAGAAGCUUAAACCCUAGUUUAUGCGUUGCUUCGUAAGGGGCUGAUUUGGAUCCAUAUGUUUCAUGCUAUGGUUAGGUUUACCUUAAUACUUUUGUUGUAGUUGCGGAUGCUUGCAAUAGAGGUUAAUCAUAAGUGGGAUGCUUGUUCAAGUAAGAACAGCAUCCAAGCACCGGUCCACCCACAUAUCAAAUUAUCAAAGUACCGAACGCGAAUCAUAUGAGCGUGAUGAAAACUAGCUUGACGAUAUUCCCAUGUGUCCUCGGGAGCGCUUUUCCUUAUAUAAGAGUUUGUCCAGGCUUGUCCUUUGCUACAAAAAGGAUUGGGCCACCUUGCUGCACUUUAUUUACUUUUGUUACUUGUUGCUCGUUACAAAUUAUCUCAUUACAAAACUAUCUGUUACCACGUAUUUCAGUACUUGCAGAUAAUACCUUGCUAAAAACCGUUUAUCAGUUCCUUCUGCUCCUCGUUGGGUUCGACACUCUUACUUAUCGAAAGGACUAUGAUAGAUCCCCCAUACUUGUGGGUCAUCAGAGCCAUACUAUUUCACAAUAUGUGUUUAUUUGUGAUUGUUAUGCUUCCUUGUUUUCUAUGCAUGUUAGAAUGGUAGAAAGAUCCCUCAUGAAUAUCAAGCGAAUUGCCAUCCCCGAUGUUGCACCUUCGCACGUCAAGUACGUCUAGUAGUGGGCUCAUAAAAUUGGGGUGCUGCUAGGUGUCCUUGAACUGAAGGGUUUGUGUCGGACACGGACAUGCACUGCAUUAGGUUGACUUGACAAGGCUAUCAAAACGGUUUUGGGCCUUGUGGCAAAAGAGGUCGGGAGCCGGGGUAUGAGAUACCUACCCGACCGAUAGGAGUUGUAUAGAGAUACGAUUAACAAGGAGUUGCUUACCAGAUAGACAUGUUGUCUAGCAGUGAUGCUAAAGCUCACUAGUCGCAUGUGCUAGUCGGAUCCUAAAUCACUAGGAGUUUGCGGAGGGAUGCUGACUUCAGUGGGAGUAUUUCUGUUUAAGGCUAGAAUUACUCUACAUAAACACAUUGCUUAGUGAUUGCAUAUUUUUUUGUUGUAGAUCAAUGGCACCACCUGCUCAACCCAACUUUGCAUUGAAAUCAAUUCUGGAAAAGGAUAAACUGAAUGGAACAAACUUUACUACCUGGUAUAGAAAUUUGAGAAUUGUUCUCAAGCAUGAUAAAAAGGAACAUAUUCUACCUGCCGAUAAUGCUAGUACCACAACCAAGAAUGCCUACCAGAAACUCAUUGAUGAAUCAAACGAGAUCAACUACCUCAUGUUGGCUUGUAUGGAGCCCGAUUUGCAGCAGCAUUUCAAAGACGUUGGGGCUUUCGAUAUGAUCGAGAGUCUCAAGAGCAUGUUUCAGGUGCAGGCUAUGACCGAAAGGUUCAGCGUCUGGCGAUCCUUGAUGGAUUGUAAGCUGAAGGAAGGUGAUCCACUGAGCCCGCAUGUGAUCAAGAUGAUCGGAUAUGUGCAAGUUGGACCGGUUGGGCUUCCCGCUCUUGGAUGAGCUGGCUACUGAUGCAGUUCUGGGUUCUCUUCCGCCCAGCUAUGGGACGUUCAUCUCGAACUAUCAUAUGCAUGGCAUGGAUAAGAAGCUCACUGAAUUGCAUGGGAUGCUCAAAGUAGCAGAGCAGGAUAUUAAGAAAGGCACGCAUCAAGUGUUGAUGGUGCAAAAAUCGGCUAAGUUCAAGAAGAGUUAGUCUAAGAAGAAGGCUAAGGCAAAGGGCACGGAGAUGGUAACCUCCGCCGCUGCGCCGAAGUCUGGACCGGACUCAAAGACCAUUUGCUAUCAUUGCAAGGAGACUGGUCACUGGAAGAGGAACUGUACCAAGUGGCUUGCAGAGCAUGGCAAGAAGGCCGGGAAUGCUGCUUCAGGAAAAGGUACACUUGUUGCAUAUGUUAUAGACAUUUACCUUGCUGACAUACCUAGUAGCUCUUGGGUAUUUGAUACCGGAUUGGUUGUUCAUAUUUGCAACUCGAUGCAGGGGCUAGUAAGAACUAGGCGUGUGGCACAAGGGGAGAUUGACAUCAGGGUCAGCAACAAAGCAAGAGUUGCUGUGUUGGAGGUCGGCACGAUGCAGCUCCAGCUUCCUUUUGGAUUUAUAUUGGAAUUGAAUAAUUGUUAUUACAUUCUUGCACUUAGUCGGAACAUUAUUUCUGCCUCAUGCUUGAUGAGUCAGGGUUAUGAAUUCAAUUUAAAGGACAAUGGUUGUUCGAUUUAUUUGAAUGGUAUGUUCCACGGCUAUGCACCCAUUCUUGAUGGGUUAUUUAUACUGAAUCUAGAAUAGGAACCGGUCUAUAACGUGAAUGUCAAGAGGCAUAAGCCCAAUGAGAUAAAUCCGACAUACUUCUGGCAUUGCCGGCUUGGACACAUUAGUCUAAAACGCAUGAAGAAGCUCCAUGAUGAUGGACUCCUAACUUCGACCGACUUUGGGUCGUUCGAGACAUGAGAAUCAUGCUUGCUCGGCAAGAUGACUAAGUCUCCUUUCGCAAAGAGUUGCGAGAAGGCAUCCGAGUUGUUGGAACUGAUACACAGUGAUGUGUGUGGACCAAUGAGCACAACUGCCAGAGGUGGCUAUUAGUACUUCGUGACUUUUACCGACGACUUGAGUAGAUAUGGAUAUAUCUAUUUAAUGAGGCACAAGUCAGAGACUUUUGAAAAGUUCAAAGAGUUUCAAAACGAGGUGGAGAAUCAGCUCGGUAAGACUAUAAAACUUCUACGAUCUGAUCAUGGAGGUGAGUACAUGAGCUAGGAGUUUGAUGAUCAUCUGAAAAGCAGAGGUAUAGUACCUAAGCUCACACCUCCGAGUACACCACAGACAAAUGGUGUAUCAGAAUGGAGGAAUCGCACCUUGUUGGACAUGGUUCGAUCUAUGAUGAGCAAGUCGGAUUUACCCCUGUCAUUCUAGGGAUAUGCUCUAGAAACUGCAGCUUUCACACUUAACAGGGUACCAUCAAAAUCCGUAGACAAGACACCACAUGAAAUAUGGACCGGGAAGAGUCCCAGUUUGUCUUUUCUAAAGAUUUGGGGUUGUGAAGCAUUUGUCAAGAAACUUAUGUCAGACAAGCUUACACCCAAGUCGGAUAAAUGCAUAUUCGUGGGAUAUUCGAGGGAAACCUUGGGAUAUAACUUCUACAACCAAGAAGAGAACAAAGUGUUUGUUUCUCGGAACAGGGUUUUCCUUGAGAAAGAGUUUCUCAGUCGGGAGGCUAGUGGGAGGACGGUCCGACUCGAAGAAAUUCGAGGACCACUCAGGGACGGCUCGACUGGUGAUGAGAUCAUACCGGAGUUAGUCAGGGAACCCGUAGUGGAAGCGGCACCGGAACCACAAAGGUCGGAAAGAUUGCACAGAGUGUGCGAUGUAUUGUUGCUAGAAAGUGACAAGCCGACCACAUAUGCAGAAGCGAUGGUGAGCCCAGAUUCCGAGGCAUGGCUGGAGGCCAUGAGAUCCGAGUUAAAGUCCAUGGAUGAGAAUCAAGUUUGGGACUUGGCUGAUCCGCUACCUGGCGUAACGGCCAUUGGUUGCAAAUGGGUCUUUAAGAAGAAAACCGAUGUGGAUGGAAAUGUUCAGAUCCACAAAGCUCGGCUUGUCUCUAAGGGUUAUGGACAAGUUCAAGGAAUUGACUACGACGAGACUUACUCGCCGGUAGUGAUGCUAAAGUCGGUGAUGACCGUACUAGCUAUAGCCGCAUAUUUCGAUUACGAGAUAUGGCAGAUGGAUGUCAAGACGACUUUCCUUCAUGGAAAUUUAACCGAGGAUGUGUAUAUGAUACAGCCCGAGGGUUUUGUCGAUCCGACUAGCACUAGUAAGGUAUGCAAGCUCAAGAGAUCCAUUUAUGGGUUGAGGCAAGCAUCUCGGAGCUGGAACAUUCGUUUUGAUGAGUUCGUCACUGGUUUCAGCUUCAUCAAAAGUGAAGAGGACUCUUGUUUAUACAAGAAGUUAAGUGGGAGCUCGAUAGUGUUUUUGAUCUUGUAUGUGGAUGACAUACUACUGAUCGGAAAUGAUAUUUCGAUGCUGAACUCGGUCAAGGAGUCAUUGAAUGGCAAGUUUUCGAUGAAGGACCUUGGUGAGGCAAUGUACAUAUUAGGCAUUAAGAUCUGUAGAGAUAGGUCAAGGAGGCUUCUUGGCUUAAGCCAGAGCACGUACAUAGAUAAAGUGUUGAAGCGGUUCAACAUGAGUGAGGCAAAGAAAGGGUUCUUGCCACUCUCACAUGGUAUAAGGCUAAGCGAGACUCAGAGUCCUUCGACAUCUGAUGAGCGAAGCAGGAUGAGUAGGAUUCCAUAUGCCUCGGCAAUUGGAUCUAGUAUGUAUGCCAUGAUAUGUACGCGGCCCUAUGUUGCUUUUGCAAUAAGCCUAACAAGUAGAUACCAGACCAACCCAUGUGAGAGUCACUGGGCAGCAGUAAAGACUAUUUUGAAGUACCUGAAAAGGACUAAAGAGAUGUUCCUACUUUAUGGAGGUGAGAAAGAGCUCAUCAUAAGGGGUUACGCCGAUGCUAGUUUCCAAACCGACAGUGAUGAUUGUCGAUCAUAGUCUGGAUUCGUGUACGUCAUGAACGGAGGAGCAGUGAGCUGGAUGAGUUCCAAGCAAGAUACGGUGGCCGAUUCUACUAUAGAAGCCGAAUACAUUGCGGCUUGUGAAGCUGCAAAGGAAGGUGUUUGGAUCCGGAACUUUCUGGAUGAUCUUGGUAUUUUCCCAGCCUCGGUAAAACCGUUGGACCUUUAUUGUGAUAAUUCUGGUGCCAUCGCGCAAGCCAAGAAGCUGAGGAAUCGCCACAAGGUCAGACACAUAGAUCGGAAAUAUCACCUGAUACGAACGAUCGUAAAGAGUGGUGAUGUAGAGUUAUGCAAAAUUCACAUGGAUGCAAAUGUUGCGGAUCUGUUGACUAAGCCGCUUCCACAACCCAAGCAUGAGGGGCACGUUAGAGCUAUGGGCAUUCGAUGUCUAUUUGAUUGACUCUAGUGCAAGUGGGAGACUGUUGGAGAUAUGCCCUAGAGGCAAUCAUGUAUGAUGAUAUUUCCUAUGUGUUUAUGAAUAAAGAUAGUCCUUGGACAUUAUCAAUGAUGUGUAUCAGUAAGUACGUGACUUGUUUGUGGGACUAUGCAUUGUAUGAUGACUGUCCUAAAAGAUCCCUAGUCGAAAGGGUUGUGUGGACGCGUAGCCAACUAGACUAGCAUAUGACACGGUCGAUGGCUUGGUCUCACUAGCCAUGGAGCAUUGGAUGCUAACCGGAUAAUAUGGACUUGGAAGGAUCUGGUCGGAUUCGACGUACUCGGAUCCGAGUCGAGAUAAGGUCCAAGUCGGACAGACCCAACUAUGAGACGCAGCUGUAUGUCAUCUCUGAGUCUCUAGUACAACAUAUGUUCUAUGUCCUAAGACCUGAGCUGACGCAUGUACUCGGGAUGGUGACAGACUUGCUUUGGGCCGACCAAACGCUACUCCAUAACUGGUUAGUUAUAAAGGUAGGUUUCGGAUUUGUCUAGAACCAUGCUACGAGACGUGGUCGAGCAAGAUGGGAUUUGCCCCUCCGAUCAGGAGAGAUAUACUCUGGGCCCCUCAUGUGAUCCGACCAGGAUAAGCAUGGCCAUGUGACAAGGAUUAUGAGAUAAUCCGGUUUUUGGUCAGCAUCACUGGAACGAGAAAGAGGUCGGGCUAGCAAAAGGAUGACAGACUCGCCUUGAGCUCGACAACAUAUAUCGUGUGGCAAAAGGAAUGGAAGUGUGAUGUACAGGUUCGCUAACCAGCUUCAUAGUCUUCUUGGUGUUCGGCAUGUCUUGCUAGAGGCCGCUACCAACCGUGCAGUUCGGAGGUGAUCCGAACUGCGACCAAGCCGACUUGAACCUAAGGGGUCGCGCGCUUAAGGGAAGGAACCUACGAGGUCGGAUCCGAGGACACUGGUCGGAUGUGAUCCGAACUAUAUUCGGAUUGUGGCCGAGUAGACUUAUGGGCUUUAGGGUCCGUGCGAGGCCCAAGUGUUGAGCCCGUGACGGAUGCCUAUAUAUAUAGUGGAGGUGCGACACACUCAUGGGCCGAUCGCUUCGGCGCUAUCACGUGGGAACCGACCACCGGUUGUACGAGGGAGAUCGGACGAGGAGGAGACGAUCCACGCGGACGCACUGCCCCAACUCUUCUUCCGCUGCACGGCACUGCGCGUCUAGUGGUAACAAACUGUGAUCCAUCUCUCGUAGCAUGUUCUUGGUUGUUCCGCGCGUAGGAAAUUUUUAUUUGCAGUUGAUGCAUCCUAAUGUAGAUCCCAACAUUAAGGCCAUGAAAUCUGAGAUGGGAUCCAUAUAUGAGAACAAAGUAUGGACUUUGAUUGACUUGCCCGAUGAUCGGUGAGUCAUUAAAAAUAAAUGGAUCUUCAAGAGGAAGACGAACGUUGAUAGUAGUGUUACUAUCUACAAAGCUCGAAUUGUCGCAAAAUGUUUUCGACAAGUUCAAGGUGUUGACUAUGAUGAGAUUUUCUCACUCGUAUCGAUGCUUAAAAGUUUGUCCGAAUCAUGUUAGCAGUUGCCACAUUUUAUGAAAUCUGGCAAAUGGAUGUCAAAACUGUAUUCCUUCAUGGAUUUCCUAAAAGAAGAGUUGUAUAUGAUGCAACCAGAAGGUUUUGUCGAUCCUAAAGAUGCUAACAAAGUGAGCAAGCUCCAGCGAUCCAUCUAUGGACUGGUGCAAGCAUCUCAGAGUUGGAAUAUAUGCUUUGAUAAAGUGAUCAAAGCAUAUGGUUUUAUACAGACUUGUGGUGAAGCCUAUAUUUACAAGAAAGUGAGUGGGAGCACUACAACAUUUCUAAUAAGUAUAUGUGAAUGACAUAUUGUUGAUCGAAAAUAAUGUAGAAUUUUCUGGAAAGCAUAAAGGAGUAUUUGAAAGGAGUUUUUCAAAGAAAAACCUCGAUGAAUCUGCUUACACAUUGAGCAUCGAGAUCUAUAGAGAUAGAUCAAGACGCUUGAUAAGUUUUUUUUCAAUGAGUAUAUACCUUGACAAGAUUUUGAAGUAGUUCAAAAUGGAACAGUCAAAGAAGGAGUUCUUGCCUGUGUUGCAAGGUGUGAAGUUGAGUAAAGACUCAAAACCCGACCACGGCAGAAAAUAGAAAGAGAAUGAAAGUCAUUCCCUAUGCCUCAGUCAUAGGUUCUAUAAAGUAUGCUAUGCUGUUUACCAGUCUUAUUGUAUACCUUAGCAUGAUUCUGGCAAGGGGGUACAAUAGUGAUCUAGGAGUAGAUCACUAAACAGCGGUCAAAAUUAUCCUUAGAGGACUAAGGAAAUAUUUCUCGGUUAUGGAGGUGAUGAAAGAGUUCAUCGUAAAGAGUUACGUCGAUGCAAGCUUUUUACAUCGAUCUAGAUGACUCUAAGUCUCGAUCUGGAUACAUAUUGAAAGUUGGAGCAAUUAGCUAGAGUAGCUCCGUGCAGGGCAUUGUAGACAUAGAAAUUUGCGAAAUACAUACGGAUCUGAAUGUUGAAGACCCGUUGACUAAAUUUCUCUCACAAGCAAAACAUGAUCACUCUUUGGGUUUUAAUCACAUAGCGAUGUGAACUAGAUUAUUGACUCUAGUAAACCCUUUGGGUGUUAGUCACAUGGAGAUGUGAACUAAUCACAUAAAGAUGUAAACUAUUGAUGUUAAAUCACAUGACAAUGUGAACUAGAUUAUUGACUCUAGUGCAAGUGGGAGACUGAAGUAAAUAUGCCCUAGAGGCAAUAAUAAAGUUGUUAUUUAUAUUUACUUAUAUCAUGAUAAAUGUUUAUUAUUCAUGCUAGAAUUGUAUUAACCGGAAACUUAGUACAUGUGUGAAUACAUAGACAAACAGAGUGUCACUAGUUUGCCUCUACUUGACUAGCUCGUUGAAUCAAUGAUGGUUAUGUUUCCUAACCAUAGACAUGAGUUGUCAUUUGAUUAACGGGAUCACAUCAUUAGAGAAUGAUGUGAUUGACUUGACCCAUCCGUUAGCUUAGCAUGAUGAUCGUUUAGUUUGUUGCUAUUGCUUUCUUCAUGACUUAUACAUGUUCCUAUGACUAUGAGAUUAUGCAACUCCCGAAUACCGGAGGAACACUUUGUGUGCUACCAAACGUCACAACGUAACUGGGUGAUUAUAAAGGUGCUCUACAUGUGUUUCCGAUGGUACUUGUUGAGUUGGCAUAGAUCGAGAUUAGGAUUUGUCACUCCAAUUAUCGGAGAGGUAUCUCUGGGCCCUCUCGGUAAUGCACAUCACUAUAAGCCUUGCAAGCAAUGUGACUAAUGAGUUAGUUGCGGGAUGAUGCAUUACGGAACAUGUAAAGAGACUUGCCGGUAACGAGAUUGAACUAGGUAUUGAGAUACCGACGAUCGAAUCUCGGGCAAGUAACAUACCGAUGACAAAGGGAACAACGCAUGUUGUUAUGCGGUUUGACCGAUAAAGAUCUUUGUAGAAUAUGUGGGAGCCAAUAUGAGCAUCCAGGUUCUGCUAUUGGUUAUUGACCGGAAACGUGUCUCGCUCAUGUCUACAUAGUUCUCGAACCCAUAUGUAGGGUCCGCACGCUUAAUGUUCGGUGACAAUCGAUAUUACGAGUUUAUGUGUUUUGAUGUACCGAAGGUAGUUCGGAGUCCCGGAUGAGAUCGGGAACAUGACAAGGAGUCUCGAAAUGGUCGAGACAUAAAGAUCGAUAUGUUGGAUGACUAUAUUCGAACAUCGGAAAUGUUCUAAGUGAUCCAGGUAUUUUUCGGAGUACCGGCGGAGUUACGGGAAUACGGGAGUACAUAUGGGCCUUAGUGGGCUUUAGGGGAAAAAGAGGAGAAGCCACAAGGGCUGGCCGCGCGCCCCCAUGGGCCUAGUCCGAAUUGGACUAGGGGAGGGGCUGCGCCCCCUCUUUCCUUCUCCUCCCCUCUCCUUCCUCCCCCCUCCUAGUAGGACUAGGAAAAGAGGAAUCCUACUCCUACUAGGAGGAGGAUUCCUCAUCCCCUUGGUGCACCUAGAGAGGCCGGCGGCCUCCCCUCCCUCCUUUAAAUACGUGGGGAGGGGGGCACCCUAGAACACACAAGGUGAUCAUUGAUCCCUUAGCCGUGUGCGGUUCCCCCUCCACCAUAAUCCACCUCGAUCAUAUCAUAGCGGUACUUAGGUGAAGCCCUGCAUCGGUAGCAACAUCAUCACCAUCAUCACGCCGUCAUGCUGACGGAACUCUCCCAUGAAGCUCUGCUGGAUCGGAGUUCGUGGGACGUCAUCGAGCUGAACAUGUGCUGAACUCGGAGGUGCCGUGCGUUCGAUACUUGGAUCGGUCGGAUCGUGAAGACGUUCGACUACAUCAACCGCGUUCUCGUAAAGCUUCCGCUUACGGUCUACGAGGGUACGUGGAAGAUACUCUUCCCUCUCGUUGCUAUGCAUCACCAUGAUCUUGCGUGUGCGUAGGAAAUUUUUGAAAUUACUGCGUUCCCCAACAACCAGAUCAUUGUACAUAGUAGGUGACUAUAACUUGCAAGAUCGGAUCUAGAACAUGGAUAUAAUUAUGAUAACAUAAACGAUUUAGAUCUGAAAUCAUGGCACCCGGGCCCAAAGUGACAAGCAUUAAGCAUGGCAAAGUCAUAACAACAUCAAUCACAAAACAUAGUGGAUACUAGGGAUCAAGCCCUAACAAAACUAACUAGAUUACAUGAUGAAUCUCAUCCAACUCCUCGCAGACUAGCGAGCCUACGAAGGAAUUACUCACUCCCGGCGGGGAGCAUCAUGGAAUUGGCGAUGGAGAAGGGUUGGUGAUGACGAAGAAUAAAGAUCCCCCUCUCCGAAGCCCCAAACGGACUCCAGAUCUGGCCUCCCGAUGAAGAACCGGAGGUGACGGCGGCUCCAUCUCGUGGAUCGCAAUAAUUCUUUCUCCCUGAUGUUUUUCUGGAAAUAUGGGAUUUUAUAGCGUCGGUUUCAGGGUCUGCAGGGCCACUAGGUGGGGACAACCCACCUAGGCGCGCCUGGGUGGCAGACGCGCCCUGGUGGGUUGUGCCCCCCUUAGGUGGCUCUUGGCUCCAGAAAUUCUAUUUACUAAUAUAAAAAUUCCUCGCAAAGUUUCGUUCCAUUCCGAGAACUUUUAUUUCUGCACAAAAACAACACCAUGGUAGUUCUGCUGAAAACAACGUCAGUCCGGGGUUAGUUCCAUUCAAAUCAUGCAAAUUAGAGUCCAAAACAAGAGGAAAAGCAUUAGGAAAAGUAGAUAUGUUAGAGAUGUAUCAAAGGUCACCAUGUACCCGAUCUUGAUUUGAUGGACGACGACGAAGGUGGCCCAACCCUGAUCGAGGGUGACCCUGCCGUUCAUCUGCCGGACGAUGACCCUUCGUGAGCAGCUGUUGUUCGUCUUCAACUUGAACUCUGUUGACACGGCUGGGAAGUGCUUGGUGAAGUCGAGGGGCAUUGAGAUGCACUCAAGCUUCGGGGCGAGGAUCACCUUGUAGAAGUGAGUUGGCCCAGCCUCCUCAUGGUAGUGCCUGUAGUUCCGAUGCUUGUCGCUGGGAGCUCCUCCGGCACCACGUCGUCAUGCGUGGCCACCUCCUCAUGCGUGGUUGGCACAACCUCCAAGGGCAGCACCACCUCCUUGCCAUUUUCAUUGUUCUCCAUCUCAAUCUGCAUUAUAAACAACACAAAGUUCAUGGCAUCAUGAAGAGCACAAGGUUCAAAGGUUGAUCUGCAUUAAAACCUAUUGUCCAAAGCCCCUAUAUUUACCCACCCCGAUAAUCACUACUUGCCCACAACCGCACUCAGUUAACCCUAUCUCAUUUUGUCUCUCACUCUUUCUCCUAUCAUCGCCAUGAACUCCAACUCCAACCUUAACCCCUUCCCUUGGGGCAUUGGAUGGAGGGCUUUCUUCCUCGGGUGCUUGCUCGGUGACCGCAACCAAGUUUGAGAGCACCAUGGAAGUGUGCUAGAACUUCAGUAGCAUCGAAGACAUGCACAAGGAGGCACACGAUGUGGUGAAGAAGGCAACAACGGAGGAGUUGAAGACGCUGAUUCCUGACCCAGCAAAGGGCGCUAUGUCAGUCGAAAUCCUUCGUUGGGCCAUGAAUCAUGCCGACUCCAGCGACACUGUACAGAGGGAAAGGUGGUCCAAGUGCAGGGAGUACAGGGCUCCUCAUGACCAGCGUGCUGCAGCGUAUUGGAAUAGGAUUUUGGUGGUGCCGGAGGUCAUCGGUUUGGAGCCGGAGGAGGAAGAAGAGGUGGAAAUGGUUGUCAGGGCACCGGAGCUAGGCCACCGUACUUUGCCAAUCGGUCUGGACUCCUGCGACAAUGACAAGACGAUGGUCUGGCCAGAGGACAAAACAAGGCCAAGGGCACCCGCUGCUCCAACCGCCUCCAGGGUCGCCGGGGCUAAGAUUUGAAACUACUGUGUAAGAUUAACCCCCAAUCCCCAUUCCCCUUGUACCCAAUCUGGAUCGGAACCCUAAAAUCCAUCGCUACUAGGAACUCAUGAUGAUGUUAUGAUCAGUUCUAUGGAUAUUUACCCCGAUUCCCCAUUCGCCUAGAACACGGAUGGACGCGAAAUAGUAUGUGAGGAGGUGAAAGUAGUGCUUACCGCCAUUGCGGAAGUGUUGCGGGUGAUGUUGCGGAUGCCGAUGGCCGCCUUGCUAUUCGUCGAUCCACUGAACGUCGUGAUGACUCACAAGUAUAGGGGAUCAAUCGUAGUCCUUUCGAUAAGUAAGAGUGUCGAACCCAACGAGGAGCAAAAGAAAAUGUCUAGCGGUUUCCACUAAGGUAUUUUCUGCAAGCACUGAAAUUAUUGGUAACGAGUAGUUUGAUAGCAAGAUAAUUUGCAACAGGCAAUAUGUAGUAACGGUAAUAAAAGUGCAGCAAGGCAGCCCAAUCCUUUUUGUAGCAAAGGACAGGCCAGCACUGUCUCUUAUAAUAAGCAAGGCGUUCUUGAGGACACACAUGAAUUUCAUCUAGUCACUUUCAUCAUGCUUGUUUGAUUCACGUUCGUUACUUUGAUAAUUUGAUAUGUGGGUGGACCGGUGCUUGGGUGUUAUUCUUACUUGAACAAGCGUCCCACUUAUGAUUACCCCAUCUCGCAAGCAUCCGCAACUACGAAAGAAGAAUUAAGAUAAAUCUAACCAUAGCAUGAAACGUCUGGAUCCAAAUCAGCCCCUUACGGAAUACCACAUAAAUUAGAGUUUAAGUUUCUACCACUCUAGCAACCCAUCAUCUAAUUACUACUCCAUAAUGCAUUCCUUUAGGCUCAAAGAUGAUGAAGUGUCAUGUAGUCGACGUUCACAUGACACCACUACUAGCAACAAAAGUAACUACUCACAAAUCAUAUUCAUGUUCAAGAUCAGAGGGGUAUUGAAUAUUAUUAAGGAUCUGAGCAUAUAAUCUUCCAUCAAAUAAACCAAUUAGCAUCAACUACUAGAUGUAAUCAAUAUUACUAGCAACCCACGGGUACCAAUAUGGAGUUUUGAUACAAAGACUGAAUACAAGAGAUGAACUAGGGUUUGAAAUGAGAUGGUGCUGGUGAAGAUGUUCAAGAAGAUUGGUCCUCCCAUGAUGAGAGGGUUGUUGGUGAUGAUGAUGACUUCGAUUUCCCAGUAUCCCCGGUGGAAUUGCUCGUCGGAGAGCAAAAGUGCUCCUGCCCAAGUUCCACCUCGAGACGGCGGUGCUCCGUCCCAAAAGUCUUCUGCUAAUUUUUUCUAGGGCAAAUGAGCUUAUAUACUAGAAGAUAGGCAUCGGAGGCUGGCUAGGGGGCCCCACGAGCCACUAGGGCACGCCCAGGGGGUGGGCGUGCCCUGGUGCCUCGUGGGCACCUGGGUGGCCUUCUCUGGUAUUUCUUUUCAACAAUAUUUUUUAUUUAUUCCAACACAAAUCUUCGUGAAAUUUCAACUCAUUUGGAGAUGUGCAGAAUAGGUAUCUCUGACAUGGCUUUUUCAGGUCUAGAAUUCCAGCUGCAGGCAAUCUCCCUCUUCAUGUAAAUCUUGCAAAUUAAGAGAGAAAAGGCAUUGGAAUUGCUCCACAAAGUGUUAUAUUGAUCAAAAACAUUAUAAAUAACCAUAGGAAAACAUGAUACAAAAUGGAUGUAUCACGCCGCCACCGCCGGUGAGAGUGGGAGAGUGAAGAGAGAGUGGUGCGGGAAGGUGAGGGUAAUUAUUGCCAGCGCUCUGGGAAGCAACGCGACUUCUCAAGUGUGGCUCCUCGCGUGCAGCCGCCGCCGCCCACGCGCAUCGCAAGGGCAUGGCUCUGGAAAAAUUGCCUAUUUGAGCGUUACCAGCAGGCCCGGCUGGGAGGUGCUUUGAGGUCCGUGCGAUGCAGGCCAAACAGUGAACGCAGGUAGGCAAACAACCCAUUUUUCUUCCGGCGCGGGCCUGGUUGCCCUCUAUGCGGGCUACCAAACACGCCCUCUAUGUUUUCCUACUAUUUUUUUCUUUUCUAAUUUUUCUUUUUUUUCUUUUCGUCUUUCUCUUCUUCCACGGUUUUUUCGGACAUUUUUUUAUUUCCUCUUUUUUUAAUUAAUGAAUAUUUUUAAAUUUUUUGAACAUUUUCAUUAAUGUCAGUAAUAUUUUUCAAUUCUUUUGAACACCUUUUAAUCUGCAAAUAAAAUUUUCAAAUUUGAGUACAUUAUUAAAAUUCAUCAUCAUUUUUUUACAAAUUGAAUUUUUAUAAAAAAUCAUGGACAUUUUCGAAAUUUGUGAGAUUUUAAAAUUCCCGAACAUUUUGCGUUGCGAUGGCAUCCACCGUUAUCGAGUUUGUAGGUGUGGAGUGGUGGCUUUAGGUUGUGUAAUGCAUAUUUUUGCAAGAGCUUUGUUGAAAAAUUUAAUAAAGAUGAUUGUGUGCAUCUUUUGAUGAAGAGGCCCGAAGUUUCAACUUCCUUUUCUAAAAAAAUGAACAUUUGUCAUAUAACCGAUCCACUAAUUUCUUGUUUAAAUUUGUUCGUCUUCUGCUCCAGUGGAAGACUCUCGCUAAGGCCGUGGACACUGAUGCUUUUUUUUAAGAUCAUCUUCAAGAUCCGCAAUCUGUUAUCGCCUUAUGUCCUAUAAUUACUCACCUGGGGAUAUUUUCUUUACAUGAUAUCCUUGGCCUGCGCGCCUCGUAAGUGUUACAUAAACUUGCUUUCACGUCUGGGUUGUACUAACGUUGUUGGAUCUCUGUCAUGUUGGCUUUAUUUAUAGAAUCGGGCUUUCAACUGUAUCCUAAAAAAAAUCUCAGUGGAUAUACGGAGCACAUGACGUUAAACACCAAGAAGAUGGCGCUGCUUUCUUUUGAAAAUGUUUAAGCUUAUCUAAUUUUUAUUUUGAACAAAUAAGCUUAUCUAAUUAGGUAGGGUAGCCCUUUUCGCAACUAGUAUAAUGUGGAGGUAGAGGGUGACGCCAGCCCACCAUCACCGGAUCACGCAUUUGCCAAAUUCAUCCACUAUCGUGGAAGCUUUAGCAUUUCCCUUUCCAGUGACGAUGAUCCAACAGCAUGUGCCGCCGCUUGUAAUGUAUACGAGAUGCGCGCAUGAGAGCACCCCACAUUUGUUCACAUCGUGUUUGACCCUGCGCCUUCUGACUUCUCAUCUCUCUGAACCUUCUUCAGCUUAUCAACUUGCACAACCCCUUCAUCCAACGCAGACCAAUUAAUCGAGUCACAUCACAUGCACUGUACACUGUCCAAUUAAUCGCCCGCCGGCGAUCCGUCGCCGUCCACCUAUCGAUUUGCUCUCCAUUCGGUCACUUCUUUGAUCAUCCUUCCGGCCGCGUCCUUCUCGGCAACCAUAAAUACCCUACAUCCAUGAGUAACAGCUCGCUAAACCGAUUGUAACACCAAUGGCCGCGCCCUCCCUUCACACGUAUCUCCUCCUCUUCUGCAACGCGAUCGCGCUGCUGCUCGUGGUCGUGCCCCCGUGCGCGGGGCUCGGGCUCGACACGGUGAGGGGCUUCCUCACCAGGGAGGAGGACACCGUCGUCUUCAGCCUCAUCGAGCGGGCCAAGCACCCGCUGAACCUGCCGGCCUACGACGAUCGCCCGUCCUUCGGCCCCGCCGGCCGCCAUGGCCGCCGCAACGGCUCCUUCGUCGAGCUCUUCGUCCGGGAGUCCGAGCAGAUCCAGGCCAAGGUGUGGUAGUCCGAUCGUUCGUUCUCGAUGGCAUCCAUGCAUGCAUUCAUGCAUGAUGCGAUUCUCCUUCCCUCUCUUGUUCUCUUUCUUUGACUCUGCUACCUGGUAGCUGGUAGCUUUCAGUUCUUCUCUUUUCAACGCUCACUUGUCAAUUGUUAUGGCCCGAGGACGACCUCUGCUGUAGUUAUGUCUAAGAUGUUUUGACUUGAGCGUCUGAAAACUACUGUCAGACGUUACAUGCUCCCGGGAAGGUGUUGACUGAACGUGAUAACUAAUACGCCCUCUGGUUCAAAAUAUAAUCAUAUUUUAUGAAAAAAAAAACUGCUAAUAUCAAUUUAACAUUGUUCAUGCUUGUAAUAUCUUGUAUAAUAAUGGCGGUCAAACUUAAAAAUGCUUGAUUGACGGAAACUCUAAACCGGACCGAGUAUAUAUAUUGCAAAACCAGGCACUCCUUCCAAUCAAUAUUAUUUGUCGCAGCUUUAGUACAACUUUAAUAAUUCAAAGAAAGUAGUUAGUUACUUUAAGCAUCAAUAUUACUUGUCGCGGUUUUAGUACAACUUUAGUAAUUCGGAGAAAGUAGUUAGUUACUUUAAGCAUCAAUAUUACUGGUUGCAGUUUUAGUACAACUUUAGUAAUUCGGAGGAAGUAGUUAGUUACUUUAAGCAUCAAUAUUACUUGUUGCAGUUUUAGUACAACUUUAGUAAUUCGGAGGAAGUAGUUAGUUACUUUAAGCAUCAAUAUUACUUGUCUCGGUUUUAGUACAAGUUUAGUAAUUCGGAGGAAGUAGUUAGUUACUUUAAGCAUCAAUAUUAUUUGUCGCAAUUUUAGUACAAGUUUAGUAAUUCGGAGGAAGUAGUUAGUUACUUUAAGCAUCAAUAUUAUUUGUCGCAGUUUUAGUACAACUUUAGUAAUUUGGAGAAAGUAGUUGGUUACUUUAAGCAAAGAAGACAAAGCGUAAGUAUAUAUUGCAUUGGAUUCGAUUCACAGCAAAGCUAGACCACACUCCGGGUCUUAUUUUCUAAAUGAAGACACGUUACCGUUGUGCUAGUGCUACGACUGCAGUACUUAAGCAACCUCACAGGUAACAAACCUGACGAGCUGUGGAACGUUUUGUGCAGGCAGGAAGGUACCAAAGCCAGCAGGAGGUCCCUUUCUUCCAAUCCAGAGUGCCCUUCACGCUGGCGCCUCCAUACAACUUCACCACCGUAAGCUUCCACUCCAUGCAUCUUCCAUUGCCCAACAAUGAACAAACUCUGUCGCCGUCUUACCGUAACCUCGUGCUGACGAAAUUCAAUCCAGGAUCUGCAUCCCGGAGCGGCGUCCGUGAACGCGAACGACGCCAUAUGGGGCAUGUAUUUCAGCGAGCUGCUCCCUCUGCUGGCCAACAAUGGCAGCGAGGAUGGCAACUACGCUGUGACCGCCGCAUCGGAUCUCGCGUGCCUGCAGGUGAUAUGGAACGCCACAUUGCAUGCUUUUCUAUAUAUACCCCAAAUGCGCGUGGUGAUAUUGUGUUUGUCAUCCUUCUCGCAGGCGCUCUCGAGGAGGAUCAACUACGGGAGGUACGUGGCAGAAGUGAAGUUCAGAGGAGACCAGCAAAGAUACACAGAUUUGAUUCGUUCAAAGGUACAUGCUUCAUCGAUCAUUUCAUCUCAUCGCCCAACAGUGAAACCAGUGUUGACAUGAUCAUCUAGUAUAACUGAUCUUUUUAAGAUGAUCAUAAAUGGUCACCAGAAUGCAUGGUCUAUGUAAUAAGCAAAGUAAAAUCUCUCGAUUUUUAUGCAGGACAAGGAUGCUCUGAUGAAACUGCUGACAUCUGAAGCCCAAGAGGAUGUGGUGAAGAGGAGGGUGGAGAAGAAGGCCAUGGUGUUCGGCCAAGAUGUGACCUUGGACGGACCAACUGAAACUGGUGACGACGCCAGCAGCCAAUCCAGUUUCAAAGUCGCCCCUUCGGUGGUUUACGAGUUGUAUGACCGAUGGGUGAUCCCCUUGACAAAACAAGUGGAGGUCGAGUACCUUCUCCAUCGUCUCGAUUGAGCCGAGCCGAGACUCUUAUCUUAGCAAAGCUAACCUAAUUUGUUCACAAUUGUACACACUUUGUAUUGUCAGUACAUAAUUAUCAUGUGAAGGGAGACAAACACAAUAAGAAACAUGCAUAUUUGUGAAGCUCGCGAUCUGUUCAGAAUGUUCCAACAGAGUGGAUUGAUGACAGUUAAAGCUAGCAAAACAAUGGGCAAAAUAUGCUUUGCAUCUCUCAUGUGCAAAGUACCAAAUGGCUCCAUAUGAGCUUCUCUCGGCACAAACAGCUAACCGUUGCCAAGUUCUAGAAUUGAGUCUACCAAGCCCAGGCCAACCGCUCUCAUAUAAGUUAGCCCCAAAAUAGAAG